rnacentral:lncRNA from 1 species
UGCCUUAAAAAUACACAUGCGUUUAAACAAGAUCUCAUCUCUGGGUUUGAGUAAACUGUUAAGACUUAAAACUUACUCAUUUUACCUUUCACCAUGGGGCUUGCAACUGUCACUUGUGUCUUGAGCAGUUAAAAGAUAGAACGGUCAAGUCAAGCGCCAUGUCUCUUGUUCUUCGAUUAACUAUAGCUCUUGAGUUUUUGCUGAUUUUCAAAUAAAACUCAGAGAUUCCUUGUAUGACUCUCUCUAGUCUCUCUUUUGUGGUAUUUCUGGAUCCUUACCAAGGCAGUAAUGGUGUAUGCCUUCUCUCUAAAAGUAUGUGGUAUUUUUGGUAUGAGGCAUAGUGGCAUUGCCUUCUCUCUCACCCUACUCUAAUAAGGUUUUGAUAUCUGGAGCUCAUAGGUGGGAGACAGCUAAUACAUACUUACAAGACAUUUAUUGCAUAGUCAAACCAUGGAUCUAGAAGAACAAGUCAAUAAGUCAAAUCAAGAUGUGCAUGUGUGGCGAAUGAAUGAUGUAUGGUGAUGAUGGUGAUAACAAUGGUGAAAGUCUAAUUCUACUUGUGCUCUUUUGAGGGAAUACAUACCUUUCUUGCUCUUUUGAAACUUUUUGAGGAGAAUGAGAUGCUCUAUAUUUUCUUUUUUCUUUUCUCUCAGGUGGGUAUCUUGUACCCCUAAUUCUACUGUCGGACACUUGUCCAUUUUUACCUCUCGUCUCACUUUUUCUUUUCUUUCGAGGUUUCGGGCACUUGCCCCUUUUUAUUUCCUCGUAUUCACUUUUUUUAGAGCACUCACCCGCCUGGAAUAAUGUAGCAAGUGGUAGUAACCAAAAUAUCUCGAGCAUUUACUUCACGGGGAAUAACAGGGAUAGGAGAAUGUUUUUGGCUAUUCUCUCCUGGAUUAGGAGUAGAAUAUUUUUUGGUGAUUCUGGAGAUGGAAAUGGAUGGAUAUAUGUGGAUGCAUACUUCCGGAGUAGAAGCAGCAUGUGUGAGUGAACGUGCAAGUGAAUCUUGAUUUUAACCACAUGACAAGCGCCUAAGGGUCUACACAGCUUGACCACACUCAAUGCUCAUAAGCAGUAAAAAGUAAAUGUGUGGCUCAAAGUGUAGCAAGCUUGUAUAUAUGGCUGUGGUAGGAAUUUAAACUCUCAUCAUACAGGAACUCAUCAUGUGAUAUUUUAAAGAUUUUCAAAGAUAAAAUUCUCCAGAAUUCUAAUAUCUCUAGGAACAGAUAAACAACAGCUCAACCUCAGCUAAACCAUAUAGAAGAUUCUAUCUGCUCCACUUCCAUGUUCACAAAUUCUAAAUCCAUCCUUGACCUUAGAGACCCCUCUUUAUCCCUCUCCUUUUAAGUCUCAUGAUGAUCCUAACAAUCCAUCAAGAUGAUCAAACCAUAGGAGUCAUAAAGACCAUGAGGAUGACAUGUCAAGUAAUUUCAUAGAAGGAGAGCUAAGCCAUAUAGAAAAUUUUACCACCUCCCCUUUCCUGAUCACAAGUUCUAAAUGGUUAGAAUGUGUAGAAUGGAUGGAUAAGGAAGAAGCCUUAAUGGAUUCUGACUUUGGCUCAAUUUCAAAUGGUGAGUUCUUGACUCCCUUUGAAGAUGAGAUUCAUCCAACUACAGAAGAGGACAUAGGUGAGACCAAUCCAGGAGAAACUCCGAACAUUCACAUUGGAGACGAAGAUAACAUUAAUGAGCAUGGACUUUAUUUCAUAGCCACUUCGUUUACUCCAUGCUCAUAUGCAACAUCUUCCCAAUCUAUUGGUCUCUCCAACAUCACCACAUUUGAGAUCUGCAACCCCCUCUUCCUUUCUAUUUAUAAAAACUUUAAAAGGGCGGUUGUCGAUGCAUAUGUCUAUAAUAAAUAUUGCAGAUCUCGUUGAGUUGAUCUUGAUAUAGGUCAGCGUUGGAAGGGAAACCACUUCGUCGACAUAAAUUGAUGGUUUCCCAAGGACAAGCUUAGUGUCCUAAAAUAAGCACUGAUCAGAUCGUAACAUGAUCUUUUAAUUAUUAACAAUAUUACCUUUUGUUUUGAGCAUAUAAGGAUAAUUGUAAAAAUAUUCCUUCGGGUAUUCUUGUCACUAACCUUUCUAGGAUUGGAGCAAGAAGAUCGGAUGAAUGACAAGCACAAGGUAUGUCCAACCAAUCAUCAUACAACAUUAAAUUAAAUUCAUCCAAACUUGAAUUUUGCAAAAUUCAAGCUUGGGGGAGUACUUUACAUAAAAACAUCCUUUGCCAUGUUGCUAUGUUGGUUGUCCCUACCUUUGAGACAUGCUCAAUUGAUUAAAUACUAAUCACACUACUUCAUCUCCACUUGAGUAGAUCUCUCAAGCUACCUUUAUUUGCUUUAGUAUAUGUCUAGGUUUGGAGUAGUUUCAUUUAUCUCUUAAAUAAGCAUGGUGUUUAGUUUAGGAAUGAUGAUCUUACUUCCAAGGGAUUUUAAAUUAAGCAUGGUGCUUAGGUUAAAAUGCUCUCCUAAAUCAAAUUAGACAUGGUGUCUAGGUUGAUUUUUGAGCCGAUAGUAUGCUAUAGUAGACAUUAGAUAUUUCGUUGGACUAACCCCUGCAGGAAAACUUUCAAUAUUGACCUAGGAAGUCCUGAGAUAAACUCACAUUGGAGACGAAGAGAGAGACACAUGAAGUUUAACAAUUUACACAAGGAAAACAUAGCUCAUAAGAGAUGAUCCAUGGAGGGUGCCACAAACACGAUGCACAACCGCUAAGAAAGGAAAGCUUCCACAAGGUGAUACUGUACCAUCACUCUUCAAGUAAGAUAACAUCUUAAGGUACUUGACUAUCACUUUGUUGGUGCAAAAGCUGAUCUGCAAACACAAAGGGCUAAUACCCGAUCUAAACGUUAAGGCGUGCCAGCCGAUUUGACCUUACAAUUGACAAAGGUGGUAACUCGAACACUUUGGUCCCGACAAUAGCGAUGCGCCCGGAUGUCACGGCCAAGAGGUGCUCACACGGAACUUGAGAACAUGCCGAGUUUGACUCGACGAAUUCCUAAGAACUCGUAGUAAAAAGAAAAUAUGACGAAGUCGCCAAAAAAGUAGAUGAUGAAAUAUGUGUAAAAACUUGUGUUUGAUUGAUUGAUAGAUGUCUCUUUACAUUGCCACGGGGUCUAUAUUUAUACCCUGUUUAAAAGAACUACAACCAGACACGACUAGAACUCGAAUCCCAAAUUAAAUGGAAUCGUAUACAAAACGAACUCUAAUAACUAAGGAAAUCAUUAAACUAUCCUCCGCAACAGAUCGGUACACCGCCACGAGUCAAUCGACAAUCCUUGCGCUUUUCUUCAAAAGCAUCAGCAGACCGCCUGUUACAGCCAUCGGCAACCGUCAGCACUGGUCAUCGGCACGAACGCAUCACCACUCCUGGACUUGGUCAUAUUCGGUUGUUUUCCCAUCGGCACCAACCUUCAUCGGCAACUCCCCUGUAGACUAGUCACCAUUGCCCCAUCCGCCGAUCUACACUUCAUUAACUCCAGGUGCGUAUCCAAAGAUACGUGUCCAAAAACGGUGUCAACACAUGCCCCCCAAUUUCGGAGUAUAAAAUCAUUAAUGCUCCGAAAUUCUCCUCAGUAAUGAUGGCUUUCCGCAAUUACUUCCCUUGAUUGAUAAUUAAUUACCAAAUCUAAACAACCUUAGCCCGAUUCUCCUAUAGAUUCCUCGAAUUUCUCAACUUCUCGAACCGAAUCUCCCCAGAAUGUGCUCAUCGGCAAUAUUACCGUUAGAGAGGACUGCCGAUGGACCGACCAAGCAAUCUUGCACAGUAAGAUAUCUUCACUGCUUGCUGUCAAAUCAUCUGCACAAAUCCUUGAUUAUCGUGCGAACAGUUACCAUAUCUACCUGAACACCCUUAGGUUUCACGGAUGCGGCAAAGAGGUAAGUCAGAUUUGCCCUUGGACUUUUUGUCCUAUAAAUACCUCCUUCUCCGGUACUCUUCCCCCAUCUUGUCAUUCUACAGCCUCAAAUCCACCCUCCUGGCGGUGGCACUGUUCGAGAACUUCAAGAACUAUGGCAAAGAUUUCCUUCAACAAUCCUCCGAGUCUUCGAUCUCUUCCUUCUUCCGGGAAGAAAUAGCCAUCAACUUCAUCGUCUCUGAGGUCAACUUACCAUCCCCCUUCUUUUAUAUUCUUGCUGUACUCCUGUUCAUCUGCAAAUCUAUUUACUGAGUACCCCUUUUUUCUCUUUUUUCUUUUUUUAUUCCUUCAACCUUCAAACCCUUUAGGAGCUGGCUGAUAAGAUUGUGAUUCCUACCGAUCAACCCCACUUUCAGUGUCUUGGCCCAUUGGGAAAUCCAGAUCCCAAAUGUAGAGACAAAUAGGAUCCCAUUUAGAGCUGAAAACUUUUCUUUGGACCUAUGGAAAGAUACUUUUCAUUACUGCCCAGUUUACCAAGGGAUGGAAAGAUUGGUUUUGAAGAAUUGGCAACUCGAAUGAAGUCCAAAGGGGUGAGCGAAAAUUGUACCAAUGCAUUAGACAGUUCAUUGCCGAUAUGGAGAGGAACGAAUCUCUGUUGAUAGCUGCUUCAUAUUUCUGGUCUGAUACCCUUAAUGCUUUUGUAUUCGGCCAUGGCCCCGCAUCCCCCACUUUAGCCGAUGUGCUAAUGCUUACUGGCUGGGACAUAUCGUGUGCCGAUGAUAACCAUCUGUAUGACCGCAAACCCGAGCGCAAAGUAGAAGCCCGUAACAUAGGCGGUUGGUCGGGAUACAUCCAGAAGUACCGAAAAAUAGGGGCAGCCGGACAGAGGGAACAUGCUAUUUUUCUGAACAUGUGGUUAGACAAGUUUGUCUUCUAUGGCCGAUUGGUAGGGCCAACCUCUGUCCAUCUAUCGCAGUAGAAAGAUUGGCCGAUGGCAGCCGAUUUCCUCUUGGCCGAUAUUUGCUUGGCUCUGUCUAUCACCUUCUCCACCAAGUAGCUGAGAAACUCCUGCUAGGCCAACCCAUCGGCAACUUAGGGGGACCUUGGUGGUUCAUCAACAUGUGGCUCAGUGUUCACAUGCAUAAGCGCCUUGGAUUCGAUCUUUUCACACAGCGCUUUCCUAGAGACAUAGCCGAAAAUCAUGAACUAGAUGAGGAAGAAUCGGCAACUCGCCCCCCUUUGAACUAUGGUGAGGCCGCCAUAGUCUUACCUGACACCGAUGGCAAUGAAGACCAAGUCAGCCGAUUCUUCGAGACUCUCUAUGAGGGUCCGACCAAAGACCAGCGGGCAUGGAUGCCUUAUGAGGAUACGGAAACCAGAUUCCCACUCACUUUCCACCCCUUCGACAAUGCCCUCAACAAAGACUAUGAUCUGAUGAUGGCAAUUAUCACCCGAGAGCUAUACCGGUGAAUUUCUUUAGCAGUGGGAAAACCUCCAACUUCACUUAUGAAUUCUAUAACCCAUCGGCACUGGCUCGUCAACUAACCUUUGGACAGCUGCCGAUUGCACUCUGCUACGCCGAUGUGGUGAAGCCAAGGGAGAUCAUAACCAGCGGUCUUGAGUGGAUCAGAGUAGCUCAGCUUCCACCAAAUGCCGAUACGUCAGACAUUGAUCUGACGUCCUGGAUCCCAGCUCUCUUCAUUACUCAGGCGUACAAGCAAUGGUGGGAGGAGUGGAAAGAGCAUUUGUUCUGUACAUCAGCUCUGAAAUACCAUGGUAUGAGUGACCCCAAGUAUAAAAUCCCCGAGAACACUGUAAGUCUUCAACCGAUGUUUCACUCCUUUUAUUACUUUUACCCCUAUUGGUAACUUACUCCCUCCCUUUUAAGCAGGUCGACGAUACACCACCGACAGUCAGCAGGAGCGGAAAGCCGAUCGGACUCCUCCCAUCGGGCCCGAUCUCUUUGAUCGACAACAAUGCACCAAGCUUGGCGGCUUUAAUGCACCGAAACCUACGCUUCAAGAAGGUCACCACUAAACGAGCCAAGACAUCUCCAUCGGUCGCUGCUGCUGCUUUGCACAAGCUUUCAAGGUAAAUUCUUGACUUCUUCAAUUUAUACCGAUUCCAUUCUAUACUUACACAUCCUUUUCAGGAUACAUCGGCUGCCAUGGGAACUUCAUCGGUAACUUUCACUGUUUCAACCAAAAUUUCAUCAAUACUCUGUUACAUUUGUACUUAUGAAACUUUUGUUAUUGUAUCAGCAAACUGGCAGAUCGGCAAAGACCAGAAGUACCAAGGCGAGUGCCGAUGCCCCCCAGUCUAGGAAGGUCAAGAGGAAAGGCCCCAAAAGCACCAAGUCACAAGCAAAAUGCCAGAAGACAACAGCACCUCCUCCUCUAGGGUCACCGGUUCAUGUGGAAUCGUCCCCUUCUUCACCAAAAGUUUAGACACAGCAAGCACCGUCUCCACCUCAGCUGCAAGAAGCACCUCAGCCAGAAGAGACAUCAGCCGAUGUACCUGAGCAGAAUGCCGAUCCAGUGGGUUCAAUCAUAGCAUCGGUAGUCUCCUCAAUUCAGAUAAGCAUUGCACCCCUCAAGGUAAAGUAGUGUCUAUGAAAUCAUUGCCGAUGGAUUUAUCUUUCCAACUCAUAAUUAUCUCUAUUAAUUUUUUAGCUAACAUUGUCCCAUCGGCAACUCCAGCCGAUCAACCUAUGGUACCACCGGCCUCAACUAGCCAGAGGCGAGAGAUAGCUCUGAAACAAGUAAAUCAUUUGAUCUCUAUCUUUCAUAUUACUAAUACUUGAUCAUCAAAUAACUUAUCUUAUUUCUUCUCCAGGAACAAGACUCUUCGGACAGCUUGUUUUCCUUUGCCAUCGAAAUUUCUGAUGACGAAGGCGAGAAAGCAAGUUCUUCCCAAGCAGUGGGGAUUUCAUCGGCAGAAAUCAGAGCAAAGCUGGGAGAUCUGUUGGCCCUGCUUUAUCAGGACACUGCUCAAUUAGUUGACGACUCUGACCCAACCAAAGCUUUGUUAGAAGCUCUCAGAGGUCAAAUUCCUGCUGAUGCCGAAGAAAUCCUCUUCCAGGCUGCACACUUGGAGAGCCGCCAGCUUCAGUACCAAUAGGCCACCCAACGCCUUGCUGAUAGAGCCACCCAUGGCCAACUCUCAGAGGAAGUAAUGCAAGUGAAACGCCUUGCCGAUGAGAAGCACAAGAGCAUCUGCAUCCUACAGUCCUCAAGGGAGACACUAAGGCAGAAGAUUUCCGAUCUGUCGGCAAAAAGGGAAGCCCUACUGGCAGAGCUCAAGCAAGUAGAAGAGGCCCUCUCUCAAGCUCAGCAAGAGGAAAGUCAACUGCCCGAAAUGAUCAAGACUCUCCAGCAAGAACAAAACAUCCAAGCCCGCAAAGCACUGCAGAUGAAGAAGAAGUUGAAGCCAGUGGAGGGCUUUGCCAAUGAAGACAUCAAAGAGAUAGAAGAAGCCGAUCAAAUUCGUCUGCGCGCCAUAUCGGCUAUCCAAGCUCUGCUAAAUGUAUAAGCUCUUCAUCGGUGACAUGUUUUGUUCGGCCUUCAGAAACUUCUGAUUAUUUUGGUCUAGCCGAUAGGACUGUUAUCGGCAUCUCCCUUUUUUAAAAACAUCAUACAUUUUAAUCCAGCCGAUAGGAGUGUUAUCGGCACUUAAACUGUCAUGCAUCGACCCAUAUGCUUGGGUAAUACUUCUUUAAAUAUUUUCCAUUCAAUGCUCUGGGAAAGUAAACUCCUUCGAGAGUUUUCAAAAUAUAAGCAUUACCAAGAGCAGACCGAUUUAUCCGAUAAGGACCUUCCCAAUUAGGAGACCAUUUGCCAAACUUUGAACUUUUAGUCCCAAUCGGUAAUAUUAGUUUCCACACCAAAUCUCCAUUGGCAAACUCCUUAGCUUUUACCUUUUUAUCAUACCAUCUAGCAACUCUCUUUUUAUUUUCUUCUAUACUUAUCAAAGCCCUUAGCCGAUGCCCUGCUAAAUCAUCUAACUCAUCUUUCAUCAAAGUAGCAUAGUCAUCGGCGGCCAGCUGAUCUUGAAAAGAUAGUCGCCUAGAUCCGGUCUUAAUUUCCCAUGGCAGCACUGCAUCGUGUCCAUAAACUAAUUGAUAAGGUGAAACUUUAGUCGACCCAUGACAUGCCAUCCGAUAUGACCAUGAAGCUUCAUUCAACAAUGUAUGCCACCUUCUCAGAUUUUCUUCAAUCUUUCGUUUGAUGAGAUUAAUAAUUCCUUUGUUAGACGCCUUGGCCUGCCCAUUGGCUUGAGCAUAGUAUGGAGAAGAAUUCAACACUUUAAUCCCCAUACCGAUUGCAAAUCCAUCAAACUCUCCCGAUGUAAACAUAGUACCCUGAUCGGUUGUAAUUGUUUGAGGAAUACCAAAUCGGUAAACAAUAUGUUCUUUCACAAAAUCAAUCAUAUUAGCCGAUGUUACUUUCUUCAAAGGAAUAGCUUCAACCCACUUAGUGAAAUAGUCAGUGGCAACUAAGAUGAAUUUAUGCCCUUUGCAUGAUGGUGGGUAAAUCUGGCCGAUCAAAUCAAUAGCCCAUCCCCGGAACGACCAAGGUUUAAUAAUGGGAUUCAUAGCCGAUGCAGGGGCCCUUUGAAUAUUGCCAAACUUCUAACAUCCUUGACAACCUUUGAAAUAUUUAAAGCAAUCCUCGAGUAUAGUCGGCCAAUAAUACCCGUUUCUCCUAAUCAUCCAUUUCAUCUUAAAGGCCGACUGAUGCGCUCCACAUAUUCCCUCAUGAAUUUCUCCCAUCAAACUUUUAGCCUCAUCAUCACCUAGGCAUUUGAGAAGAGCUCCAUCUAUUGUUCAAUAAUAAAGCUCAUCUCCAAGGAGUACGUACUUAGUAGCCUGAAACCUGAUACGCCUCUCAACCUUUUUAGACGGAUCCUUUAAAUAAUCAUGUAUCUCCUCUCUCCAAUCACCGGCACCGAUUGCCGAUAACGUGUUAAAUAUGGGUUGAUAUCCCGAGGCAUGCUGAGCCAACCGAUUAGCCUUCUCAUUAUGCAAUCGAGGAACAUGCUCUAAUCGGAAAUCCUCAAAUUCCUUUAAUAGCUGCAUACUCCAUUCAUAAUAGGUUAUCAAGACUUCGCUUCGGCAUUCAUAAAUCCAAGCGAGCUGAUUUAUAACAAGCAUAGAAUCGCCGAAGAUCUCAACAGCAUCAGCAUGGACAUCUUUUAACAAUUCCAACCCUUUGAUCAAAGCUUGAUAUUCAGCUUGAUUAUUUGUUGACGUGGCAACAAUCGGCAAAGAGAAUUCAUACUUUCUUCCCUGAGGAGAAAUUAGUACUAUGCCGAUUCCUGCCCCCCGGUCACACGUAGAUCCAUCAAAGAAGAGCGUCCAAGGAACAAUUUCCAAAGUCUCCACUACACCGCAAUGUUGAGUCACAAAAUCGGCCAUAAUCUGCCCUUUAACUGCCUUAGCCGAUUCGUAACGUAGAUCAAAUUCCGACAGCGCCAAAAUCCAUUUGCCGAUUCUACCACUCAUAAUCGGCAUAGACAACAUGUACCGGACUACAUCAUCUUUGCAUACAACAGUGCAUUCGGCCAAUAGCAAAUAGUGCCUCAACUUAAUACAUGAAAAGUAUAGGUAUAAACAUAAUUUUUCAAUUGCCGAAUACCUGGCCUCAGCAUCGAUCAGCCUUCUACUUAAAUAAUAAAUCACACGCUCCUUCCCUUCAAAUUCUUGGAUUAAAGCCGAACCGAUGACCAUCCUAUCGGUAGACAAAUAUAAUUUGAAGGGCUUUCCUUGCUGAGGUGGAAUCAGAACUGGAGGAUUUGUUAAAUAAUUAUUGAUUUCAUCCAGAGCUGACUGUUGCUCUUUUCCCCAUACAAACUCUUAAUCGGCUUUCAAUUUAAGUACAGGACUGAAAGCACGAAUUUUACCAGACAAAUUGGAUAUAAAUCGCCUGAUAAAAUUUACCUUGCCGAUCAAAGACUGGAGUCCAGUUUUGUUGGUAGGAGCAACUAUCUUGUUGAUGGCAUCAAUAGAUCUCCUACUAAUUUCAAUUCCUCUUUGAUGCACCAUGAAACCAAGAAAUUGCCCUGCCGAUACACCAAAUGCAUACUUGUUAGGAUUUAUUUUUAAACCAUGUUUCCUUAUGCACUACAACACCUUUCGCAAAUCGGCAUGAUGCUUUGUGAAAUCCUCAGACUUAACCACCACAUCAUCAAUGUAAAUUUCUGCCAGCUUGCCGAUGAACUCAUGAAAGAUAAAAUUCAUAGCCCUCUGAUAAGUAGCAACAACAUUUUUCAAGCCAAAGGUCAAGACUAUCCAUUCAAACAGCCCAACACGACCAGGACAUCUAAAUGCGGUCUUUGGAAUAUCUUCUUCAGCCAUGAAUAUCUGAUUAUAUCCUGCAUUACCAUCCAUGAAGCUUAUGAUCCGAUGUCCAGCCGCAGCAUCGACUAGCAAAUCGGCAACUGGCAUUGGGUAACCAUCCAUCGGCGUAGCCUUGUUAAGAUUCCUGAAAUCAAUGCAAACUCGAAGCUUCCCAUUUUUCUUGUAAACUGGAACGACAUUGGAAAUCCACUCGGCAUACCGACACUGCCGAAUAAAUUUAGCUUCGAUAAGUUUGGUUAUUUCGGCCUUAAUAUCAGGAAGAAUAUUAGGAUUACAUCGGCGGGCCGGCUGCUGAUGUGGCCGAAAUCCAGAUUUGAUAGGCAACCGAUGUUCAACGAUAGAUCGGUCCAAACCGGGCAUCUCAGUAUAAUCCCAAGCAAAGCAAUCUUUAUAUUCCUUUAACAAAUCGGUUAACUGUUGCUUACACUUAGAAUUUAACUUAGCACUAAUAAUAGUAGGCCUGGGCCUAUCACCAUUACCUAUAUCUACUUCUACUAAAUCAUCGGCCGAUGUAAACUCCUAGCCUAAUUUUGUAUCAUCGGCGAACCUAUCCAUUAAAACUCUUCAUCAGAACCAACUGCUUGGAUCGGUGGAAUUUCAUAAUCGGCAACCUUGAGAAAAUCCUUUUCCCAAAUCUCCCCUGAAAUACAUCUGGUCCUUUCAUAAGUAUCUGCCUCUGCCGAUGCAAUGACAUACGAAGAAUCUCCAGGGACAAUCUCAAUCUUGUCACCUACCCACUGAACCAAACAUUGGUGCAUUGUAGACGGGAUGCAACAAUUGGCAUGGAUCCAAUAUCUUCCCAAUAGUAGAUUAUAAGCACCCUUUCCACUGAUAACGAAGAAAGUUGUCGGCAAGGUUUUGCUGUCGAUGGUCAACUCGACACAUAUUGCUCCCUUAACCGGAGACACAUUCCCCUCAAAGUCUUUCAGCAUCAUAUCGGUUUUGGUUAAGUCUUGAUCCCCUUUCCCAAGCUUCCGAUAGACUGCAUACGACAUAAUAUUGAUAGCAGCCCCUCCAUCAACAAGUAUCUUGGUCAUUGGCUGCCCAUCAACUCUUCCUUUGACAAACAGAGCUUUAAGAUGUUGCCUUUCAUUGUCGGCAGGCUUUUCAAAGAUAGCCGUCAUUGGAUCCAGAGCCAACUGAGCUAUUUGGUCAGAAAAAUCCACCUCCUCGUCAUCACUGGACGGUGCAAGGAACUCCAUCGGCAACAUAAAUACCAUAUUAACAUCUGCCGAUGGCCCUUUUCCCUUGGGAUCUGGCUGUUGCCGAUCUUCGGACUUAGCAGAAUUCUCUCCUUUGCUCAGCUCUUCUCGUCUUUCGCGCUGCAGUCUUCUUUUCUGUGUCCUAGUUAGCCCCUCUGGACACCAUGGAGGAAGUUGCGGCUGCCUUACUGAUUGGUAGCGAUUUUCCCUCGAUUCCACUCGAUAAGUAUUAGCAUCCCUGCAAAAUAUGAACUCAUCGGGAACUCGUGCAUCUGCCAUCUCCUCGAGGUCCUCUUGGUUCCUGGGAAAAUACCCGACACGGUCACCAAGUCUGUCAUGCACACUAAGCCUGCCCCCCAGCCUAUCAGGAACUAAAGCUCUCCCCCUAAUCGGCCCAUUAAAUCGCCGAUCAUCAUUUUGAUACUGCCGAUUAGGUCUAUCAUAUUGAUCAUAACCAUUACACUCAGGGAAAUCUCUAAUAGUGGGCAGUUUGAUAUUUUGCUCCCAGCAAUGGAUAAAGAACGGGCAGUUCCAGUGAUCCUUGUGCCGAUUCCACUCUUGUCGGCGUCUUUCUUCUUCCCGACGACGAUCCUCCUGUUGGCGCUGAUACCGAUCUUCACGUUGCUGCCAGGUCUCCCGAUGCCUUCUAUGAGUUAUCACAAUGCCAGAUCGGGGAGGCCUUCCUAAACUGGUUCCUUCUUGAAUCAUACCCUUGCCUUUAGCAUCAUCGGCAGUAAUCUGAUGUUGAGGAUCCACCAAUGCGCUUCUUUCAGCUGCCUCUGACGUUAAAACCUUGGUUUUUCCCUUAGCUCCAACAUAUUUGUAGGGAAAGGAUGUUGAUCAAUCUUCAUCGGCUUCUGAGCUUUGGAACUAUCAAACUUAAUUCUCCCAGAUUCUAUAGCCGAUUGAAGCUGUUGUCUGAAAACCUUACACUCAUUGGUACUGUGAGACGUUGCAUUGUGCCACUUGCAAUAUUUCAUCUUCUUUAAUUCCUCAGCCGAUGGAAUCACAUGAUUGGGUGACAACUUGAGUUGCCCUUCCUGAAGUAGAAAGUCGAAUAUCCUAUCGGCUUUGGUGAUGUCAAAUGCAAACUUCUCUAGCUCUUUAUGCCCAAAAGGGCAAGAAAUUGGUUUCUUAUCUUUUACCCACUCUGCCAAGCUGAUGACUGGUUCUUCGUCAGAGUCUGAGCUUGCUGCCCCAUCGACAAAUGACACCUUUUUAUUCCAUGCUCUCUUGGGUUCAAAAGGUUUAAUAUCUUGGUCAGAAAUCCUCUGCACCAAAUGACUUAGACUCUCGAACUCUUGAGAUACAUACUUGUCUCUGAUAUGUGGCAACAAUCCUUGAAAAGCCAAAUCGGCUAGCUGCCGAUCGUCCAGAACUAGACUAUAGCACUUAUUCUUGACUUCUCGCAAUCUUUGCACAAAACUCUCAACCGAUUCAUCAUUGCGUUGUUUCAGCCUGACUAAAUCGGUAAUCUUCUUCUCAUGAACUCCAGAAAAGAAGUAUUUAUCGAAUUGUUUCUCUAGAUCGGCCCAAGUGAUCACUGAAUUAGGAGGUAAUGAAAUAAACCAAGUAAAGGCCGAUCCAGACAAAGAUGAUGAGAACAAGCGAACCCUUAAUUCAUCUCUGUUAGCAGCUUCUCCACACUGGAUAAUGAACCUGUUAACAUGCUCCAUAGUAGAUGUAUCAUCUUGCCCACAAAACUUAGUGAAAUCUGGUACCUUGUACCGAUUUGGAAGUGGAAUUAAAUCAUAUGCAGGAGGAUACGGUGUCCGAUAAGAGUAAGUGUUGACUUUGGGUUUUAUCCCAAAUUGGUCUCUCCUCACUUCAGCUAUCUUAUCGGCCCAAUAGGCAUUGGCAUCUUGCCGAUGAGGUGGUUGUGGAUCUGGCACCUGCUGAUAUGCUUCCACGUGUCUCUGAGGUGCACAAUCUCCAUGGAACAUUGGAUUAACCAUCGCCUGCUGACCACCAAGCUGCUGACCAAGAUUCAUCGGCUGGUUGAUCAACCCUUGAUUCUGAAACCCAGGUUGGAAUGGACCCUGUUGAAAACCUAUAGGCUGAUGAUUCUGCUGAGGCAUUUGUGGAAAGACAAAUUGCCCUGUCCAUCCACUAUUAGCAUUCAUCGGUGUAGGUCCUGCCGAUAACUGGUAAUUGGGCAUCAUCAUUGAAUUGACAUACCCUGGCUGUGUCAUAAACCUCUGCUGCGUCGGCAUUGGAUCUGCCGAUGCAUUAGGCAUCUGGAACGUUGGUGCUUGAGAAUUCCUAGUAAAAGGCCUUGCAGUAGUAGUUGUAGAAUACUGGGGAUUCUGAGUCAUCGGCGAACCUUGUAACAGAACCGUCCAAUUUAUAAGAAUUCAAGUGAAUUAGCGACCACAAAGUAGUCAAGCCAAUGGACUUGAACCCAUAUAAACCCAGUAGUCCGACGAAAUCUCAAAAGACCUCGAUUCAACCAACAUACAACCAAGAUCGUACAUGAUCAAGCAUCGCCAUCACAGAUUACAAACAUUCAUCACAGAACAUAGUUUUACAUCACAUCGGAGUUUAAACAAAGUUAUUACAAACCAGUUUAGUAGCGGAAGCAAAGUAGUUUGGAACAUCACACACACAGUUUGAUUACAUGCCAGUUCCAUAGUCAUCCCAACAAAAGCAUAACUGAAGAUAAGGAAGUUGAUCAUGCCCAUGAUCUAUUCAUCGUCCGCAGCCGGAUGAUGACAGUUAGCACAGUAGCCGUGAUAAACGACAUCAUCUGCAACAAGGGUAAAUAAAACCCUGAGUACGAGAAUGUACUCAGCUAGACUUACUCGUCAUAAACCAGAAAUAAAGUGACACCAAGGAGUAUGCAAGGCUGAUCUUUGUGGACUGGUUUGACUCACCUUUUUGCAUAAAAACCUUUAGUUGUAAGUGACUUACUUUUAACAUUUCAGCAGUAGGUUUAUUACUUAACAACAACCCACUAGAUUAGCACCUGUUCUAAGCAUACACUUGAGUAUUUAAGCAUCACAAUAAUAACCAUAUCCAGAUUAUCACAUAGCUAUCAACAUUCUUAUCAUAACCAUUAAGUUUAUUUAGUGAGUUCUACGUUGCGACUGCCCGAGUCAAGUUCUCACUAUCCAGGAGAGACGGCGAUUCGAAUCGAUUCCUAUCCAGCUGGAGGGGUAUUCCUAGCACUCACCCAAGCAUGUUUCAUGAGGGCAGCUCGGAUCACCUUUAGCACAACUCUGGACCAAGUCUCGGGUCCGUACAGCACCGCACCCCCAGGGACCGCCAAUCUGCCAGGGUCAGGACUCUAACCUGACACCUCGGUCUUACGCCAUUGACUCCCCGCACAUCCUUACUACCAACCGGGGUAUCCGGCCGGAGAUGCACUCGUAGACUUCACGGUUGGAACGACUUAUCCGGCUAGCUAAGUGUUAGGCAUGCGUUCAACAUGACACGAGGACGUUACAGCGAAUUGGUCCUUAAUCGACACAGACGGGGAUAGAUUCACACCCAAGACCUCCAUGCCUUGUUGCUACACUAUCAUCAUCCCGUCCGGUCUCAAGUUCAUUAUUAGCAUAUGGUUAUUCCACGAUAGCAAAUAUAGCCAACCGUGAUCAGCAUCCACCUAACUCUCGCAGGUGACAGGAAAUCACCCGGCUUCUACCGAGCUAAGCAUGGCUAAGCACUAUUUCGAUCCUGGACCUACUUAGGCAAGGUAUCAGGUGGUCAAGGUAGUCAUUAUACUGCAAGGGUGUCAUAUCAAUGCCUACACUUAGUGCAACAAUACAUAAACAUAGUCAAUUGAUAGCGGGAUAUGAUAUCAAAAAUAGUAGGAGGCUUAUAAUGCUCCGGGGCUUGCCUUCAAUGUAAGUCGAUUGACGGUGGUCAGGGCACUCCAGCAGAUCCUCCUCCUCAGCUCCUCGAGGUGGCUCCCCUUGCUGUUCCUCUGGCUCGGGCAGUUCGUACUCUAGUACCGUCACUCCCUUGGGUACACCUAUGUAUGCAUGACAAGGUGAUAAAUAUAGAGAAUGCACAUAACAUGCAAUAUGUCGUGAUGCUGAGCCAAGGAAUACACAACAAAGUAUAAACAUGGGCAUAAACUCCUAAACUUAAGUGAAUCAUAGAAUAAUAAGUAAGUGCAUACUUGUUCUCUGGUAGAGAGGCUAACUAGACAAGUUAAUCAACCUUAGCAGUCACUGGUUUCAUAGACAGACCAACUUGUCAAAAGUUUCAGCUAUAACUUAAGCAUCAUUUGGCCAAACUAAACAAUUAGAUACUUUCUAGAAAGCUUAGUAAAUUUUCUAGAACUCACUUUUAGACAUCCCAGAAUGAUUCCCAACCGAAAUAUGCUAAAACAUACAAAGUUAGCUGGCUUUCCUGGAAAAUCCAGAGAGCAAGCAAUUUGCAGUAGCUACUUGUAACGUGCAUAACUUUUAAACUACUCAAUCAAAUGUCAUGAAACUUGGACACGAAGUAGAUAAGCAAGUUAGCUACAAGUUUGUUAUAUAUAAGUUUCCCAGAAAACAUCAUCUUCAAUUAGUUCUUAAGCAAUUGCUAUCAGCUACACAGAAUUGCUCUAGGAAAGGCAUAAAUAGCAAAAAUAAUAUUUUGCACAUAACAAGAAUGUAUCAAAGGGUCAAUCCAAAUGCACCAGUAGAUAUAACAUGUCUAAGAAACACUAGAAAACAUCAUGGAAAGGUCUAAACUCAUUUCUAUCAUCACCUUAUCCAUUUAUUUAAUUAUUAAGGUGAUUUAAUGAACAUGCAUCCCAAGUGCUCCAAGAAUUUUAAGAAAAUUACAGCAAGCUACUUAUGCUAACACAAGGUUACUGUAAAAUUUUCAGGGCACAUGCACAUACAUAUUGUGAGAUACAAAAAUAACAAGCUAGCAAAGGCAUGCAAAGCAUAAAUGUGAAACCCUAACAAAAUGUGUCAAACAACAAAUUUCAGAUUUUUCCUAGCUUUGUUUACACAUGAGUACAACACUCAGCAAGUUUCACCACAAAAUAAGUUAUAAAUUAUUUAUUAAAAAUACCACAAGAAACUCCUGUUUGAACAAGAAAUAUUUAUAACUUCACAAUUAGACCUCCUAAAAUCAUGAUAAAUUUAUCAGAGCCUAUUCAUGUCAUAAGUAACCAUACCCUAAAUUUGCAUAACCAUCGGAUCAACAGAUCUCAAGAUAUAAUUACCUCCUAUAUAAUCAAGAUUAAAUCAUAUCAAUUUAUUUCUGCAAAAACAUGGCAUGUUUCAUAUUUUUAAUAGAAACUAGAUUACCACCAAAACCUAGCAAAAUUGGAACCAUGUCAUUUUGAUCUAUAAAACUCGGGAUAUGAUUUUUUCAAAAACACCACAGAACCUGCUAUACAGUGAACCGGAGUGUGAGAGGGAGAGACUGAUAGGUGGGAUCCGUUGACAUACGGGACCCACGCGACAGAGGGACAGAGACAGGGGAGAAGCUCAUCGCCGGCGGAACUCGACGACGGCGAGGUCUCCGAUGGAUCCAAGGGCAUCUACGUGUUCCUCUCCUCAAGGCGAGGCCGUUGUCCUACUUCACUCGCGCUCUACUGAACCCUAGGGUGCUCGCCGUCGCGAAUGGCGGAGCGGUGGUGCUGCGCGGCGUUACGCCGGCGAAUCUAGGCAACGGCGACGCGGUACAGCUUGCGGACGAGCAAGAGCGACUCAAGACGAAGCUAUAGGAAGAAGAAUCACGGCCGGAGGUGAACCAGAGAGGUCUGGCCACGUUGCCGGUGAUCUCUGUGAACUCCGGCGAGGUGGAGCUCGCGACGGAGUUGGCAAUGCGACCUCACCGGUGCUCGGCUAAGGGAAAGGAGUGGACGUCGAGGUAGAGGAAGUCAAGGCGGAGCUCUGGGCGGACUGGCUCUGCCAGAGACGCGAUGGAGCGGCCGGGAGAGCUCGCCGAGGCGAUGGCGGAGCGAAAUGGGAGGCUCUGGAGGGGUGAAUGGCGCGUCUGAGGCGUCCACUCGGUGCGUGGCGUCUUGUGGACGACGUCGGGGCUGACAGGAGGGGUCAUCGACGGCGUACGGCCGACACAUGGCCGGACACGCGGCGGCGGACGGCGACUGUCCAAACUGAAACGUUUUCUUAAUCGCCCGAUCCCGACGACUGAAACUCCAACUUUGUCGACGUUUUACUCUCAGCUCACUCGGUGGUUUUGGCUCAAAUUUGUUCCUUGGGUUAGAGCUACAUGAGAUCUAUAGGUUUGCUUACAAGAUCAAAGUCUAACUCGGCCUGGAUUUCAAACUACAAGGCUCCCAAUAACCCUAUGUCGAAUCUACCGAUUCCCAGACUUAGCCAAAUUUGGCUAAGUGUAGAAACAGCACUGUUUUCGGGCUUGUGGGCCACUUUUGGUCAGGUUCUAGGCAUUUUCAUAAAAAUCCAUCAACAUAACUUUUGUAGCUUAUAACAUUUACUACAACUUUGUUUCAGGUGUCAUUUACAUGCAAGGUCUCUAACAUCAGUUUCAUAAAAUAUUUUUGAAAGGAGGUCUAGGGGGACAAUUAGGUCAACCUAGGGCUAAUCAUGACCUAGAGGCAUUUUUGGCCAAAACCUCCAACAUGAACUUUGUUCAAAAUGUUGUUCUAAACAUGAUUAAAGUAUUUUGGAAGACAAUGUACACUUGUAUGACUUAUUCACCCAUUACAAUAAACCAUAGCAAGUCAUAUAGCAAUUCAAUCACAUAGUAUAUGUAGCAAAUGGUAUGUGAUCAUGGUAUGAUGCUCAUGAGUGAUCAUGAUAAUGCUUAUGUUGAUGCAAUGCUCAUGGUUAACAUGCAAGCGAACACUAGGAGUGUUACAGCCCUCCCCCCUUACAAAAAUCUCGUUAAGUUAUUUGUAAAUAGUCUUCCCUUUUCCAAGUGGCAUCUCUCUCACUUUGACGGUUCCACAAAACUCUAAAGAGCUUGAUCACUCUCCCACGAGUAACUCGUUCCUUGACAUCAAGAACUUGUACAGGCUUUUCUUCAUAGGAUAGAUCAGACUGCAACUUUAGACCUCUUGUUUCAACUCGCUCUUCGAGCACACGAAGACACUUCUUGAGUUGAGACACAUGGAAUACAGGGAAAAUGGCUCCCAGUUCUGGAGGUAGUUGUACUUUGUAAGCUACCUUGCCACUUUUCUCGAUGAUUUGAUAGGGACCCACAUACCUAGGGGCAAGCUUUCUUUUUACACCAAAGAAAUUUACUCCUUUCGUGGGUGAUACCUUCAGGUACACAAAGUCACCUACUUCGAACUCAAGUGGCUUUCUUCUUCGGUCGGCAUAGCUUUUCUGUCUAGCUUGGGCAGCUUCCAUGUGUUUCUGGAUAGUGAGAACUUGCUGUUCGGCUUCUUUGACAAAGUCAAUUCUGUAGUAUCUCCUUUCACCAGGUUCGACCCAGUUUAGAGGAGUCCUACACUUGCGGCCCUACAAAGCUUCAAAAGGAGCCAUUUGGAUACUUUCUUGAUAACUAUUGUUGUAAGAGAAUUCAGCUAAGGGUAGCCAUUUCUCCCAUGCACCCUUGGAAGAUAUCACACAUGCCCUCAACAUAUCCUCUAAAAUUUGAUUCACACGCUCAGUCUGACCGGAGGUUCGAGGGUGGUACGCUAAACUGCGAAUCAAUUUCGUACCAAGGAGUGAAUGUAAAUGCUCCCAAAAGCGGGCAGUGAACUGAGGACCCCUAUCAGAAAUAAUGGUGCGAGGCACUCCGUGCAAUUUAACAAUCUGAGAGAAGUAUAACUUAGCAUAGUCGGAUAUUCGGUGUGUCGACUUCAUAGGGAUAAAAUGGGCUCACUUGGUCAAACGGUCAACAAUCACCCAUAUGGAGUCGUGUCCCUUUUGGGUAGGGAGAAGGCCAACAAUGAAAUCCAUGCUGAUUUCUUCCCAUUUCCAACCCGAAACCGACAAAGGUUGUAAUACCCGAUUUUAAGGAUAAAACCAGAUAUGCACCAUAUGUGAGUCUUAGAAGUCAAAUCUCACAUAUAGCUACAAAUAAGGGGUAAUAUCAAAAGACAAUGCAUAAAUUAUAUAACGUACUUAGCAUAAAAGAGAUAACCUUUAACAGCAAACAGCGGAUAGACAACUCCUACUUCGGGUAUUAACUUCUCUCUAUAGGAUCCAACUGACUGGUUGAUCACAAGCCUAAACUUCUCCUGAGGUUUGGGGAUAUAGCAAGAGUGAGUCCAUGUCGAACUCCACAAGUAUAGUAACUAGAUUGUAUAGCUCCCACAAUCUCAUGAUCAAUGUGACAUAAAUAAUGUAAAGCAUUAAACAAUAAAUUAAGCUUUCUAGCAACUUGAAUAUAAAGGGUGGAAAGAACUCUAGCUUUUGCUAGAUUGAUCUUGACCCUCCAUAAGGACUUAUCCCUUGGCAAAAGCUAGGACAACUCGUACAACCAUGAGGGCUACAUGGCUCUGGUUUUAGCUCAGUAUGAGGACCUUUUUCUAGCUUGUUAGCGGUUACCUUAAAUGGCGUAAGAAUGGCUAGACACGUUGGGUAUAGUGUAGCCUCUGUCCGUGGGUAUAGGCUGCGGGUUAUGUGCCAUGGAAGGGGGUCUCUAUAUCUGCCUGCCGAGUGAAUCUAAUGGCCCUAACUUGUUAGACGAAACAUUUGAAAGGCUUCAUAGUGAUCCCUGCCGGCCUCCCUAGGAAGGGGGUUAAGAGACUUGCAACCUCAGGCGAAAGGGUAAAUCACGACUCAUGGGUAAAGAUGUACAACCUCUGCAGAGUGUAAAUCUGGUAUACUAGCCGUGCCCACAGAUACGGGCGUCCCGGAAAACUGACGAAAUAGAUGGACACUGAUGAACAUGAUUAAUGAUAAUAAAGGAUGGUUUAUUAUGUUGUUUAUAUGUGUUAUUCUUAAUUCUUAUAUACAUUGAUCAUGUGGUUAUGGGAUUUAAUUAUGCUACCAUGAUAUUUGCUAUCCAAUGAUUAAACAUUUUAUCCACUAUUAAAAGCUAAAUGCAGUCAAACCAGUGUCAGCUAUUUGAGCCUCAUGAACCCCUGGUUAUAUUUGUUGAAUACGAUAUGUGCUCACUCUUGCUAUUUCCCACCACUCCAGUUUACUAGUAAGAGUUGAUCAGAAGAGUGAUGGAAUCAUGAAGGAUGUUCUCAGAAUACAAGAAGUGCUAGGCAAAUGUUACCCCCCAGUCAGCCGUCCCUGUGAAGAUUGAGCCUGAAGAUUAGUUACCAUUCCGCGAUUCUUUGAUGUAAGUGUUAAUUAUAAGUAUGUUUUCGCUAUAUAACAUUGUUUUUGAUACUAUUGCUUCUGUUGUUGUAUGUGUGGACUUCCUGGGCACACAUAUGGCUAGCCUGGUUUUUGUUCUUUAAAACCGGGUGUGACAGAGUGGUAUCAAAGCAAUGCUGACUGUAGGACGCAAGCCUAGUUAGAAAUUUGUCGUCUUAAGUUUUGGAAUUGUCAUAAAAUCCUUGCUCUAUAAACCUUGGUAUUUUCAUCCAUACUAUAUCCCUAUCCUUGCUAUUUGUCUCCACCUUGUUGCUUAUUUUAAAGACUUGUUCUCAUCCCCACUCCUUGCUUGAUAUGCUUUUAGAACUUUUUCUUACCACCUUCUGGCAUCAUUGGAAUAGGUGUUUUAAGAUCUUUACCCUUACUAUGAAGAGAACGAUAGUAUCGCAAGUUGAGUGAAGUGUGAACCUUCAAUGCUUAAUUGGUUUGUUAUUAUGUUUAUGCUUGAUUUGGAUCUUUGUAAUGAUUGCAAUGAUCUUGUGGAUUUUCUUCACAAUUUCAUUUAGUUUAUAGGCCUAAGGCAUAAGGAUUAAUGAAAUACGUAGUUAGGUUUGGCUAUCUCUUGUUUGUAUCCCUUGCUGAUUUCUGGAGCAGUCUGCGAUGAGUCUGGUGUAUCUCAAGUUUUGAUCGUGCAAAGUUUAUCAACUUUUUCUGGGAACAACUAAACUACAAGAUCUUUCUUUGACCUCAAGAAUGACCCCCAUAUCUAUUUUGGAAUUGGAGUUAUGAAAAUCACAAGUUGAUGCAGCUGUGCUGUCAGGAACCUGGACCAGCUUUGGUUGCAUACUGUUUGAGACAAACAUACUAUAGAAUUUGGAAAAGUUAUCUAUAGAAAAGUUGUAGAAAAGUUUCUAAGCUUUCCAACGGUAUAAGAUGGAACUUAUUCGGAUAAGUAUAAGCUGAGAUAUGAUAUUUAAACUUGGAUGUUUCUGUUCUGUUUAAAAGUCUGGACAGUUUUGGUAUUUCCUAUUUUCAGACAUCCUAACGUUAGAAUCUAGGGAAAAGUUGUAUACGAAAGUUGUAGAGGAUUUCCAAAGCUUUUCAAAAAUGUAAGGAUCAUCUUCAGGUGAGUUAAGUAACUCGAGAUAUAAUUUUUGGAAGUUACAGCACCUUUGCUGAGACAUUAUCAGGAAGGAUAUUAUGGUUGGUUGUUUUCCCUAAGCUUAAAGACAGAAUCUAAGGAGGUCUUCUACAGGAAAGUUGUGGUGAAUUUCAUAAGUUUUCUAAGGAUAUAAGCUAUAACUCUAUUGGAUUAACAAAAUGUGAGUUAUACCUGUUUUUCUAUGCUGGUGUUUUUUUUAUAUCAUGAGUAAAUUUCAGGAUACAUGUUUGUUCGCUUGCACAUAAGUUCUUUGGGAUGUCAGAAGUUCUCAAUGUUAAUUAACUUGUCUGGAAAGCAUGCAAGCUACCUUUCUUGGUCUCCUAGUUGACUUAUUUUAAGGGGGGUAGCCCAAUUAAAGAACUACAAGGAGAAGAAGUGGUUAAUGAUUGGAACAUCGAUAAGGACAUCAAGUGUUAGGUUUGUUCAAGAUAUCAUCCCAUUUAGAGAAUACUAAUAGAGAUAUAUGUCAUUGCUGAUACUCAUGGAUUAAGAGUUGUGUAUGAGGAUCAGAUGACACCAAAGGCUACAAAGUUACAUAUACAAAGUGAGAGUGAAACAAUUUGAUUGUGAUAAAGGUACCAAUAGAUGGAAAUUAGUGAUGAAAGUAAUUUAGGUAUAUAAGCUUGGACUUAAUAAAGAAUGUUGAUGAGAAUAAUACGAAUAACAAUGUCUUUUGAAAUAUGACCUGCUUAGAUAAAUCUCAAAACAUGGUAAUUCAAUUAGUUGCCCUCACUUGCUUUAUGCUUUCUAAAUUAUAAAUGCUUAAAUGGCUUAAAUGAUAUAUAAUUAUUUAUUAUUAAAAUAUAUUUUGUUAUGAUUUUGUUUAACUUGUUUAAUCUAUAAUAAGACAACACUUAUAGAUAAAUGUCGAUUAGUUUUAGCUCAGUUUCUAAACUAGGAUAUAGUUUGUGUAAUCUAAAUUAACAUACUUCUUAAGGUUUUGCAAGUCAAAAUAAAUCAAGGAUGUAGGUUUUUCUUUUAUAAAAUAGAAUAAUGAAAUAAUAUAGAACUCCCUAUAGCUGUUUUCUUUUUAAUCGUAGACUUGUUCUUAGUGUUUUCUUACGCUCUCAUGACCAUAGCAGCGAGCUCUCCUUUAGUAUGUUGCUUAACCUUGUCUGGUGUGUUGUUUUUAGUUGUUUCUAUUUGUUGCUUGUAUGUUUGUUGGUGUGCUUGGUUGCUGCGAUCUACGAGUUGGCGAGAACCGCUUGUGAGUGCUGAAGAUCAAACGGUGAUGACUAAAAGCUGAUGACGUGAGAUUUGUGCAAGUGUUUAAGGCAAGUAUAACUUGGGACUAUCCUUGUUACCUAUACACAAUUAAUACAAUAUAUCAUAUGCAUGUGUCCACCUUGAUGACCUUAGCAAAAUCAUAGAUGAUUGUUAUCCUAAAUUCCUUGUUACCUAUUUGGAUAUGCAUUUGGGUAGUUCUUGCUAGUGCUUGAUUAAUAAUCCAUGAUCUUGUAACAUGAAUGUUUGGAUAUACAAUAAACAAUAAAAUAUGCUUUCUAGCAACUUGAAUAUAAAGGGUGGAAAGAACUCUAGCUUUUGCUAGAUUGAUCUUGACCCUCCAUAAGGACUUAUCCCUUGGCAAAAGCUGGGACAACACGUACAACCAUGAGGGCUACAUGGCUCUGGUUUUAGCUCAGUAUGAGGACCUUUUUCUAGCUUGUUAGCGGUUACCUUAAAUGGCGUAAGAAUGGCUAGACACGUUGGGUAUAGUGCGGCCUCUGUCCGUGUGUAUAGGCUACGGGUUAUGUGCCAUGGAAGGGGGCUCUAUAUCUGCCUGCUGAGUGAAUCUAAUGGCCCUAACUUGUUAGACGAAACCUUUGAAAGGCUUCAUAGUGAUCCCUGCCGGCCUCCCUAGGAAGGGGGUUAAGAGACUUGCAACCUCAGGCGAAGGGGUAAAUCACGACUCAUGGGUAAAGAUGUACAACCUCUGCAGAGUGUAAAUCUGGUAUACUAGCCGUGCCCAUGGAUACGGGCGGUCCGGAAAACUGACGGAAUAGAUGGACACUGAUGAACAUGAUUAAUGAUAAUAAAGGAUGGUUUAUUAUGUUGUUUAUAUGUGUUAUUCUUAAUUCUUGUAUACAUUGAUCAUGUGGUUAUGGGAUUUAAUUAUGCUACCAUGAUAUUUGCUAUCCAAUGAUUAAACAUGCUAUCCACUAUUAAAAGCUAAAUGCAGUCAAACCAGUGUCAGCUAUUUGAGCCUCAUGAACCCCUGGUUAUAUUUGUUGAGUACGAUAUGUGCUCACUCUUGCUAUUUCCCACCACUCCAGUUUACUAGUAAGAGUUGAUCAGAAGAGUGAUGGAAUCAUGAAGGAUGUUCUCAGAAUACAAGAAGUGCUAGGCAUAUGUUACCCCCCAGUCAGCCGUCCCUGUGAAGAUUGAGCCUGAAGAUUAGUUACCAUUCCGCGAUUCUUUGAUGUAAGUGUUAAUUAUAAGUAUGUUUUCGCUAUAUAACAUUGUUUUUGAUACUAUUUGUAAUAGAACCGUCCAAUUUAUAAGAAUUCAAGUGAAUUAGCGACCACUGAGGCAGUCAAGCCAAUGGACUUGAACCCAUAUAAACCCGGUAGUCCGACGAAAUCUCAAAAGACCUCGAUUCAACCAACAUACAACCAAGAUCGUACAUGAUCAAGCAUCACCAUCACAGAUUACAACAUUCAAAACAGAACAUAGUUUUACAUCGCAUCAAAGUUUAAAAGAGGUUAUUACAAACCAUAGCAGUAGCGGAAACAACGUAGUUUUGAAACAACUCCAACUCAGUUUAUAAUACAUGCCAGUUCCAUGGUCAAGUCCCAACAAAAGCAUAACUGAAGGUAGAAGAGUGAUCACGCCCAUGAUCUAUUCAUCAUCCGCAGCUGGGUGAUGACAGUUAGCGCAAUAGCCGUGAUAGACGACAUCAUCUGCAACAGGGGUAAAUAAUACCCUGAGUACGAGAAUGUACUCAGCUAGGCUUACCCGUCACAAACUAGAAAUAAAGUGACACCAAGGAGUUUGCAAGGCUGAUCUUUAUGGACUGGUUUGACUCACCUUUUGCAUAAAAGCCUUUGUUGUAAGUAAUUCAUUUAUCACAUUUCAGCAGCAGGUUCAUUGCUUAGCAACUAUCCACUAGAUUAGCACCUGUUCUAAGCAUACACUUGAGUUUUUAAUCAUUACAAUAAUAACCAUAUCCGGAUUAUCACAUAGCCAUCAUCAUUCUCAUCAUAACCAUUAAGUUUAUUUAGUGAAUUCUACGUUGCCGCUGCCCAAGUCAAGUUCUCACUAUCCGGGAGAGACGGCGAUUCGAAUCGAUUCCUAUCCAGCUGGAGGGGUAUUCCUAACACUCACCCAAGCAUACUUCAUGACGGCAGCUCGGAUCACCUUUAGCACAACUUCGGACCAAUUCGCGGGUCCGUCCAGCGCCGCACCCCCAGGGACCACCAAUCUGCCAGGGUCAGGACUUUAACCUGACACCUCGGUCUUACGCCAUUGACUCCCCGCACAUCCUUGCUACCAACCGGGGUGCGCACUCAUACAGAACGGGGUAUCCGGCCUGAGUUGCACUCGUAGGCUUCGCGGUCGGAACGACUUAUCCGGCCAACUAAGUGAUAGGCAUGCGUUCAACAUGACACGGGGACGUACAGCGAUUCGGUCCUUAAACGACACAGACGGGGAUAGAUUCACACCCAAGACCUCCAUGCCUUGUUGCUGCACUAUCGUCAUCCCGCCCGGUCUCAAGUUCAUUUUUAGCACCUGGUUAUCUCCACGAUAGCAAAUAUAGCCAACCGUGAUCAUCAUCCACCUAACUCUCGCAGGUGACAGGAAAUCACCCGGCUUCUACCGAGCUAAGCAUGGCUAAGCAUUACUUCGAUCCUGGACCUACUUUGGUAAUGUUUGAGGUGGACAAGGUAGUCAUUAUGCAGCAAGGGUGUCAUAUCAACGCCUACCACUUAAUGCAACAAUAUAUAACCAUAGUCAUUUGAUAGCUGAACAUGAUAACAAAAUAGUAGGAGGCUUAUAAUGCUCCGGGGCUUGCCUUCGACGUAGGUAGAGGGACGAUGGUCAGGGCACUCCGGCAAGUCCUCCUCCUCCUCAGCUCCUUGAGGUAGCUCCCCUUGCUGUCCUUCCGGCUCCGGCAACUCGAACUCCAGCACCGUCACUCCCUUGGGUACACCAAUGUAUGCAUGACAAGGAGAUGAAUAUAGAGAAUGCACAUAUGAUGUAUGAUGCCAAGAUGAGGAGCCAAAGGAACAUAAAACAAGGUAUAACAUGAGCAUAAACUUCUAAGAUUAAGUGAAUCAUGGAAAAACAAGUAAGUGCAUACUUCUUCUCUGGUAGAGAGACUAAAUAGACAAGUUAUACGAAUUUUAGCUACUCCUACUCAGCCACUGGUUUAGUAGACAACCAACUUGUCCCAAGUUUCAGCCAUAACUUAGGCACCAGUUAACCAAACUAAGCAAGUAAGUACUUUCUGGAAAGCUUAUACAAUUGUCUAUAAUUCACUUUUAGACAUCUCAGCAUGAUUCCCAACCGAAAUAUGCUAAAACAUACAAAGUUGGCUGGCUGCUCUGGAAAUUCCAGAGAGCAAGCACUUUGCAGGAGCUACUUGAAAUAUGCAUAACGUUCAAACUACUCAACCAAAUGCCAUGAAAUUUGGACACGAAGUAGAUCAGUAAGUUAGCUACAAGUUUGUUGUAGACAAGUUUCCCAGAAAAUAAGAUCUUUAAUUAGUUCUCAAGCAUUUGCUGUCAGCUACACCGAAAUGCUCUAGGAAAGGCAUAAAUAGCCAAAAAUAAUAUUUUGCACAAGUUGAGAAUGUAUCAAAGGAACAAUCCCAUUGCACUAGUAGAUAGAACAUAUCUAAGAAACACCAGGAAAAAUCAUGGCAAGGUCUAAAACUAUUUCUAUCAUCACCUUUUCCAUUUAUUUAAUUAUUAAGGUGAUUUAAUGAACAUAUACUCCAAGUGUUCCAAAAAUCGUAAGAAAAUUACAGCAAGCUACUUAUGCUAACAUAAGAUCACUGUAAAAUUUUCAGAACAUUUGCACAUACACAUUGUAAUAUAUAAAAAUAACAAGCUAGUAUAGGCAUGCAAGGCCUAAAUGUGAAACCCUAUCAAAAAGUGUCAAACAGCAGAUUUCAGAUUUUUCCUAACUUUGUCUACACAUAAGUACAACACUCCGCACGUUUCAUCACCAAAGGAGUUAUAACUUAAUUAUUAAAAAUACCACAAGAAACUCCUAUUUAAGCAAGAAUCAUUUUUAACUCCUCAACCAGGCUUCCAAAAAUCAUGAUAAAUUUAUCAAAGACUACUCAUAACAUAGGCAACAACACCCUAAAUUUGCAUGGUCAGAAGAUCAAUAGAUUUCAAGAUAUAAUUACCCACUAAAAAUCCAAGAUUAAUUUAUAUCUAUUUAUUUCUGCAAAAACAUGACAUGUUUCAUAUUUUUAUUAAAAACUAGACUCAUGCUGGAACCUAGCAAAAUUAGAAUCACUUCAUUUGGAUCUCUAAAACUCGAGAUAUGAAUUUUACAAAAACAGCACAGGAUCUGUAAACAGUGAACUAGAGGGGGGGAAAACAGAGAGGCUGACACCCGGGAUCCGCGCGUCAGUGAGACAGUGACAGGGGAGAAGCUCGCCGCCGGCAAAGCUCAACGACGACGAGGUCUCCGUCGGAUCCAAGGGCAUCUACGUGUUCGUCUCAUCGAGGCGACUCUGUUGACCUACUUUACCCGCGCUCUACUGGACCCUAAGGUGCUCGCCGUCGGGAAUGGCGGAGCGGCGGCGCUGCGCGGCGUUACGCCGGCGGAUCCAGGCAAUGGCGACGCGGUAGAGCUUGCGGACGAGCAAGAGUGGCUCAAGGCGAAGCUAUAGGAAGAGGAAUCACGGCAAGAGGUGAACCAGAGAGGUCUGGCCACGUUGCCGGUGAUCUCUGUGAACUCCGGCGAGGUGGAGCUCGCGACGGAGAUGACAAUGUGACCUCACCGGUGCUCGGCUACGAGAAUGGAGUGGACGUCGAGGUAGAGGACGUCAAGGCGGAGCUCUGGGCGGGCUGGCUUGGCCGAAGGCGCGAUGAAACGGCCGGAGGAGCUCGCCGAAGCGCGGCGGAGCGCACCGAGGUGACGGCGGAGCGAAAUGUGCUGCGCUGAGCGAGUGGAGAGCGCGUCUGAGGCGUCCACUCGGUGCGUGGCGACUUGGAGACGCCGUGGGAGCUGACAGGUGGGGUCGCCGUCGACGUACGGCCGACAGGUGGCCGGAUACGCGGCGGCGGACGGUUCUGUCCAAACUGAAUCAAGCGAUUCAGUCGCCAUGGCCAGUGACUGAAACUCGAACUUUGUCAACGUUUUACUCUCAGCUCAAUCGGUGGUUUUGGCUGAGAUUUGAUCCUCUGGGUAGAACUACACGAGUUCUACAACUUUGAUUACACAAGCUCAGUCUAAAUCGGUCUGGAUUUCAAACUACAAAGCUUCAAACAACCCUAUGUCGAAACUGUGUGAUCCCAGACUUAGCCAAAUUUGGCUAAGUGUGAAAUCAGCCCUGAUUUUUGGUUUGUGAGCAAUUUUUGGAUGUGUUCUAAGCUUUUUCAUAAAAAGUCAUCAACAUAGCUUUUGUAGCUUAUGAAAUUCUUUACAACUUUGCUUCAGGUGUCACAGACAUGCAAGGUCUCUAACAUUACUUUCAUAAAACAUUUUUGAAAAGAGGUCUACGGGGUCAAAAAGGUCAUUCUAGGAAUAACCAUGACUUAGGGGCAUUUUUGGCCAAAACCUUCAACAUGAACUUUGUUCCAAAUGAUAUUCUAAACAUGAUUGAGGUAUUUUUGAAGACAAUGUACAAUUGUUUGCAUUGGCUACCCCUUAUAGUCACUCAAUUCAAGUCACACAAGCAAUUUAAUCAUGUAGUGCAUAUAGCAAAUGGCAUGUGAUCAUGGUAUGAUGCUCAUGAGUGAUCAUGAUGAUGCUUAUGUUGAUGCAAUGCUCAUGGUUAACAUGCAAGCUAACACUAGGAGUGUUACAGCCCUCCCCCUUACAAAAAUCUCGUCCCGAGAUUUGAAAGACGUACCAUUUAUCGUAGAAUGAGGGAUAAGUUACUUGUAAAUAGUCUUCUCUUUCCCAAGUGGCAUCUCUCUCAUUUUGAUGGUUCCACAAAACUCUAAAAAUUUUGAUCACCUUCCCACGAGUAACUCGUUCUUUGACAUCAAGAACUUGUACAGGCUUUUCUUCAUAGGAUAGGUCGGACUGCAACUUGAUGUCUCUUGUUUCAACUCUCUCUUCGGGCACUCGAAGACACUUCUUGAGUUGAGACACGUGGAAUACAGGGAAAAUAGUUCUCAUUUCGGGAGGUAGUUGCACUUUGUAAGCUACCUUGCCGCUCUUUUCAAUGAUUUGGUAGGGACCCACAUACCUAGGGGCAAGCUUUCUUUUAACACCAAAGCGAUUUACUCCCUUCAUGGGUGAUACUUUUAUGUACACAAAGUCACCCACUUCGAACUCAAUUGGUUUUCUUCUUCGGUCAGCAUAGCUUUUCUGCCUAGCUUGGGCAGCUCUCAUGUGUUGCUGGACAAUGAGGACUUGUUUCUCAGCUUCUUUGACAAAGUCAAUUCCGUAGUACCUCCUCUCAUCAGGUUCAACCCAGUUUAGAGGAGUUCUACACUUGCGGCCAUACAAAGCUUCAAAAGGAGCCAUUUGGAUACUUUCUUGAUAGCUAUUGUUGUAAGAGAAUUCAGCUAAGGGUAGCCAUUUCUCCCACGCACCCUUGGAAGAUAUAACACAUGCCCUCAACAUAUCUUCUAAAAUUUGAUUCACCCGCUCAAUCUGAUCGGAGGUUUGAGGAUGAUAGGCUGAACUGCGAACCAAUUUUGUACCAAGGAGUGAAUGCAGAUGCUCCCAAAAGCGAGCAGUGAACUUAGGACCUCUAUCAGAAAUAAUAGUGCGAGGCACUCCGUGCAAUUUAACUAUCUGAGAGAAGUACAACUCAGCAUAGUCGGAUGGUCGGUAUGUAGAGUGUACAGGAAUAAAAUGAGCUGACUUGGUCAAACGGUCAACAAUCACCCAUAUAGAAUUGUGUCCUUUUUGAGUGAGGGGAAGUCCAACAAUGAAAUCCAUGCUGAUCUCUUCCCACUUCCAACCCGGAAUUGAAAAAGGUUGCAAUAAACCUGCAGGUUUGAGGUGAACUGCCUUGACCCUGCAGCAAGUAUCACACCUAGCAACAUAAGCUGCUAUCUCUUUCUUCAUUUUGGUCCACCAGAAACGAGGUCUCAAGUCUUGGUACAUUUUGCUACUACCCGGAUGAAUGGACAACUUGGAAGAAUGAGCUUCUUCUAGAAUUUUGUUGCGUAGGUCACUGUCUUUAGGUACAACUAGUCGAUUGUCAAACCACAGUACACCUUUCUCAUCUACCCGAAAAUGCUUGGUGUCUUGCUCUUGCAUUUUUCUUUUGAUAUGAAAAAUACCAGGAUCAGAUUUUUGGAGCUCUAUGAUUUGACUUUCUAAUGAGCAACUGACUAUGAUGUUGUGCAGGACCACAGGAUGCAACAAAUUGAAGCCUUCCUCUAGAAGAGGUCUAACAUGUUGUUUUCGACUGAGAGCAUCAGCUACAACAUUGGCUUUGCCUGGAUGAUAGUGCACUUCUAAAUUUUAAUCUUUUAUCAAUUUUAACCAUCUUCUUUGUCUCAUAUUCAGCUCGGGUUGGGUGAAGAUAUAUUUGAGGCUCUUAUGGUCAGUGUAAAUGUGACAAAGAUUACCCAACAGAUAGUGUCUCCAGAGUUUCAAUGCAUGUACAACUGCUUCUAACUCUAGAUCAUGAGUAGGGUAGUUGGCUUCAUGUUUCCUCAGCUGCCGAGAAGCAUAGGCAAUAACUCGGCCUUCUUGCAUAAGCACACAACCUAGGCCAGUGCCAGAUGCAUCACAAAAGACAUCAAAUGGCUUUUCAAUGUCAGGCUGUGCCAGAACAGGAGCGGUGGUCAGCAAAUGGCGUAAAGUGGUGAAAGCAACUUCACACUCCUCGGACCACACAAACUUCACAUCUUUUUGCAGUAGCUUGGUCAUAGGCUUAGCUAUUUUGGAAAAGUCUGGAAUAAAGCGACGAUAAUAACCAGCUAGACCAAGAAAACUCCGGACUUCGUGCACUGAAGUCGGGGCCUUCCAGUCUAGAACCUCCUGCACCUUUGACGGGUCAAUAGAAAUACCCUCUUCGGAUAAAAUAUGGCCUAGGAAAGGCACUUUCUUCAGCCAAAACUCACACUUGCUAAACUUGGCAUAAAGCUGAUGUUCUCGCAAUCUAGUGAGUACAAUUCGAAGGUGCUCCUCAUGUUCUUGUGCAUUUUCAGAGUAUACCAAUAUAUCAUCGAUGAACACCACCACAAACUUAUCCAGUUCGGGCAUGAACACCAAAUUCAUCAGGUACAUGAAAUGAGCAGGGGCAUUAGUCAGACCAAAGGACAUGACUAAAUACUCAUAUAACCCAUACCUGGUAGAGAAAGCUGUUUUAGGAAUGUCUUCAGGUCGGAUCUUGAUUUGAUGAUACCCAGAUCGCAGAUCAAUUUUGGAGAAUACUUUGGCCUUGGCUAAUUGAUCAAACAGGAUAUCAAUGCGAGGCAGUGGAUACUUGUUUUUGAUAGUCACGGCAUUCAACGGACGAUAGUCUACACACAUACGUAGAGACUUGUCCUUCUUCUUGACAAAGAGAGCCGGACAACCCCAUGGAGAAGAACUAGGCCGAAUAAGACCUUUCUCUAGGAGCUCUUGCAAUUGCUUUUUCAACUCUGCCAAUUCAUUGGGUGGCAUUCGGUAUGGCCUUCUAGAGAUAGGUGCGGUACCCGGAAUUAGAUCAAUUUUAAACUCUGUCUCUGUCCGGCGGCAACCCGGGCAGGUCCUCUGGAGAAACAUCCGGAAACUCACACACUACCGGAAUUUCUGCUAUAGUGAGUGGUCGAAUAGCAUUGGCCGCGUGACGGAUGUCAUUGCUUCUAGGGAGUUGAACUAAGAAAGCUUCCUUACUAUCACGCUCUCUCAACAUAAUGACCCUAGUUGAAGUGUCUAUUAACACUCCAUGAUCACUCAUCCAUUUCAUUCCUAGGAUAACAUCUAUUCCCAAGCCUGAUAAGAUCACAAGAUUUGCUGAAUAAUUAUGCCCUUCUAUGGCAAUUUGUACAUCUCUCACUACUUGAUUUGUAGCAAUUUGGUUACCAGCAGCACUAAUGCAAAAUUUUCCACUAUCAAGGUCGAUUACAUGUUGCCCAUGCUUAGAUGCGAAUGCUUGACUCAUAAAUGAAUGUGAAGCUCCAGAAUCAAACAAGACAACUGCAGGGUGUUGAUUUACAAGGAACAUACCAGCCGUGACCACUUCACCUUCUGGAAUUUCUUCAAUGGUGGUAUAGUGCACUCGGCCCAUACGGUUAUUGCCUCCAGCCGCAGCAUUUCUCUUAGGAUAAGGGCAAUCUCUGGCCCAGUGACCAACUUGCUUGCAAUUGAAGUAGGGACGGUUAUCAGGAGGAGUCUUGGGACCUCCUUGACCCGUGGCACCUCUUGGGAGAGCAACUGUGAAGGACUUGCGAACUCCCGUCUUCACAUUGGACUUUUUCUGCGGCGGCCUAUACCUUGUCACAGUAUUGGGUGGGCGAUAGGCCGGCUUGCUUGCCACUAGAGCCUUGGACUGCGAAGCACCUACCUCAUAGGCCCUCUUGCGGUUCUUGGACGCGGCAUACACAGCAUUAGAAUUUUCCUGAGUCAAUGCAUCACUCACAAACUCAUUAAAAGUGGUACUCUUGUUACCAGCCAUGUUCUUGGACAACUUGGGUCCCAACCCUCUCUUGAAACUAGCGAGCUUCUUGGCUUCGGUGUCAACCAUCUCAGGAGCAUAGCGAGACAAAUUGUUAAAAGCAUGAAGAUACUCAGUUAAGCUUUUAGUGCCUUGCGUCAGGUUCAUGAACUCGGUGUGCUUGAUAGUCAUUAAGCCUUGUGGAAUAUAAGUGUUCCUGAAAGCAGUUUGGAACUGGUCCCAGGUUACAACAGCAUUGGCGGGCAAGCUAGUCCUGUAAUGACUCCACCAAAUACCUGCUUUGCCCUCCAACUGGUGGGCUGCAUAUUCUGCUUUUAACUCUUCAGUCACCCUCAGCAAACGGAAUUUCUGCUCAAGAGUGUUCAGCCAUUCAUCAGCUUCUAGAGGUUCGACAGCCUCCUUGAAAAGCGGCGGCUUGGUGUCCUGGAAAUCCUUGAAACUGCUAUACUGAUUUGCCUCUCCGCCUUGGCGGGCAUGGCGACCACCCCGGUUCUGCUGCGCCAUAGUUUGCAUUGCCUCAUUGAGCAUUCGCUGGCCCUCAACAAGAGCUGCCAAUAGCUCAGUAGGCGUAGGCGGGGGAGGAGGUGGUGGCGGCGGCACCUCGUUGUGACCGGAGCGAGUAUUGCGAGCCAUCUGCACAAGGCAUACCAAGUGAUCGUUUAGGAUAACAGAUAUGAUUGUCAUGAACUUCAAUUGCUGCCAUACGGAAUUUAAUAAAGUAAAUUCACAUAAAUUAAGGCGCAAUAAUCCAUGUACAACAAGAGAAUAUCAUCCGCAUCACUUGGUUAUUCUCGCGAUCAUUCACAGCCACACUCCACAAGAAUUAAAGUCACUGCAGAAAUUUAUUUAAGCUCAACAUAAACAUGGAGCAUCACAAUUGAGUGCAUACGGUUACACAGAGUCACUGCCACAACUUAAGUUUUACGGGAGGGGCACCAUGGCCAAAUACAUAGAAUCUCAACUAAAUUUCAGAUUACAUGUCCAUUACAUAAAGAGAUGGAAACGGAUACAUGAUCAUAGAUUUAUUGCUAGGCUACAUAUCUUCCUCAGAUUCUCCAUUAGAGAUGAUGCCAUCAUCCUGAUCUUCCUCACUAGGAACUUCUUCCUGAUUAAAAGGGGCUGGAUGCGAAAUAGGAUUUAUGAUAUUAUUUAAGCGAUGGACAUCUAACUGUAGCUCAGCAAUCCUAGUAAUCAGCUCUUCCUCUCUCAUUUCAGCAUGGAACAAGACUCUAACUCUAGCAGCUUCUCUAUUUUCAGCCAAGCGCAUAGUCUCAUCUCUUUCUCUAGUCAUUUGCAUCAUGCGGGCUUGUGCUUCAUUGCGCUCUCUAACUGCGUUUUCAACUUGGUUGCGGCAGGCUUGCAAAGCGGUGUGAUAGUUCUGGAUUUCAACUUGUGCAUUCAUAAAAGCCUUGCGAUGCUUGCGCACUCGCUUGCGCAGUUUGCGCUACCCAACUUAUGCUUGUUGGAGCGCUAGCAUAGCGUCUAUGUAGGUGUCCUGGUGCACAUAGUACAGCUUAAGUACCGCUAGCAUGGCACUCAUGGCAGGGCUAGAACUAUAUCCUAGCAAGGUUUCUCUCAUCUCUGAAGACUCAUUCCCAACCUGGGACACAAAUGUGUCAGUCACACUCACUCUGGAAACGGAUCCCCCUGGGCCAUUCACUAGCUCAUCACCAUGUUCUUGGCAAAUCUCUAGCAAAACCUCCAGGGCUGCUACUUGGGCACCCUCCCAAGGAGUUUGGCCAUCAUAGUCAACUAACCAACCUAGCCACUAUGGGUUAUUUGGACAAGGGGGAACUGUAAUUUGGACAUCUACCCAAGGUAAAGCUCCUGCAUGCUCAGCCUCGGUCCAAGUGUACUUAGGUGGUUCCUCAUAUCCAACUGAACUUAGCACCCUCCACAACAAAGUAGGAGUGCCAAACAUGUCCAGGAAAGUCUCACUCGCGUGCGGGGCUGCCAUCUGUAGAAAGACCACAUUUGAGUAAGGGAGAUUAAUUACAAGGAGAGAUAAAGAAUCAUAUUUUCAGAAUUUAAUACCCAAGUAUUGCAUAAAGAAUGUAUGAAUGAUUCAUGAUGCAUGCACGUUCCAUACGUCCUUUCCAUUCCUAGAAGAAAGUUCUAAUGGUAUAGUGUUGACGGUCCUUAAUGCUCAUAUUUAACCAUCAAUUAAUCAUAGAAAAGGAUCCAAAUGGAACCAACACCUAGACUUAGGGUUUUAUUUGACAGAAUUCCACGAGUUUUGGUGUUUGUCUAUUUCCGCAGGGGGUUAUCAGGAAAUAUGGAGGAAAGGCCCACACGUCGGGUUUACAUAGAGAUAUUAAUGUGCCGCGCAAUUUUCUAUCAUCUAGAAGACUCCAGAAGCCACGGGACCGAAGUGGAAGCCGAGAGGCCUCAGGGACAGGGCGCCCGCCCUAGUCCUGAGGGCGCCCGCCCUCCCCCCUGGACCAAUCAGGGUGAAGUUCGGGGAUCAUGCUCCACCGACCUAAUACUUCAAGGAAAACAACACGAUCAAUGUCGGUUUGAUCCGACGGCCCAGAUUCACUUGAAGGGACUAUAAAACCAGACCCCCCUGGCCCCUGCAGAUCAUACCUCUUCUACAGAAUCAAAGCUAGGGUUUCAAUUCUUCAUCCAAGUAGAGAGGAUCCCUCUAGUUCUUCUAGUUCUACCUCUAGUUCAUCUAGAUCUAGUUCUAGUUCAUCUAGUUCUAGUUCUAGUUCCUCUAGUUCUAGUUCUAGUUAGUUCUAGUUGUAAUCUAGAAAAUAGGGAGAGAGAAGAGGAGAGCGGAGGAGGAGCCGGAUCUGUCGGAUCUUCCUCAACAUUGUACUUUUGCAGCAACUGGUUAGUCCUUCAUCGUUCUCCAGGUUCUUCAAUUCAUAACUCCUGAGUUCUCUAAUUACUUUUAUUUACAUUCAAGUUAUUUAUUGGAUUCCCGCUUGCAUCAAGUGCUCUAGUCUUUGAAACAUUAGAGUAGUAAUUAAUAGAUUAGACGUGGUGUUUAGUUUUGCAAUUACCUGGAAUUGCACCCAAUCCUACGGAUUGUUGUGGUAGCCCUAGGGUAGUGACAGUCCUAACGGUCGACGUAUUCCACCACAUUCAGAUCGGUGUUUGUAGGACCGUAGUCAGACCUUCCUAGCCCCCUUCUCAUCUCUUUCUGUGGUUAGUGCUCUGAUGUCCCGAUAUAGAUAAUCUUGAAGUAAUUCUUGAUUCUUAGAUCAACUAGAGAACUCUCAGGAAACUUCCUCUCUUUCCACCAAAAAUAUUCAUAUAGUUAUCCUUGGGCGAUCUUGGAUCUUAAUUAGUACACUCACGUUCCCUGUGGAAAAUCGAUACUCUGGAAUACUCCCGGGUGAAGGCUACAUCGGUAUCCGUGCGCUUGCGGAUUUUUUUCUGUUUGCGUUUAAAAUACCCAACAAGCUUUCUGGCGCCGUUGCCGGGGAACGGUAGCUGUGCUAGUUUCGAACCAAGUCGUCCGUGUAUCCUUUUUCUUUUCCUUUUUUACCACACUCACCUUAUCAUUUUCACCAUACCACAUGGAUUUCACUCUAAGCAUUAAUGAGCAUGGAAUUUAUUUCAUAGCCACUUCAUUUACUCCAUGCUCAUAUGCAACAUCUUCACAAUCCAUUGGUCUCUCCAACAUCACCACAUUCGAGAUCUCCAACCCCCUCUUCCUUUCUAUUUAUAAAAACUUUAAAAGGGCGGUUGUCGAUGCAUAUGUCUAUAAGAAAUAUUGCAGAUCUCGUUGAGUUGAUCUUGAUAUAGGUCAGCGUUGGAGGGGAAACCACUUCGCCGACAUAAAUUGAUGGUUUCCCAAGGACAAGCUUAGUGUCCUAAAACAAGCACUGAUCAGAUCAUAACAUGAGCUUUUAACUAUUUGCAACAUUACCUUGUGUGUUGAGCAUAUUAGGAUAAUUGUAAAAAUAUUCCUUCGGGUAUUCUUGUCACUAACCUUUUCAGGAUUGGAGCAAGAAGAUCGGAUGAAUAACAAGCACAAGGUAUGUACAACCAAUCAUCAUACAACAUUGAAUUAAAUUCAUCCAAACUUGAAUUUUGCAAAAUUCAAGCUUGGGGGAGUACUUUACAUAAAAACAUCCUUUGCCAUGUUGCUAUGUUGGUUGUCCUUACCUUUGAGACAUGCUCAAUUUGUUAAAUACUAAUCACACUACUUCAUCUCCACUUGAGUAGAUCUCUAUAAAUGCUCUCAUGCCACCUUUAUUUGCUUUAGUAUAUGUCUAGGUUUGGAGUAGUUUCAUUUAUCUCUUAAUUAAGCAUGGUGCUUAGCUAGGAAUGAUGAUCUUACUUCCAAGGGAUUUUAGAUUAAGAAUGGUGCUUAUGUUAAAAUACCCUCCUAAAUCAAAUUAGACAUGGUGUCUAGGUUGAGUUUUGAGCCGAUAGUAUGCUAUAGUAGAUAUUGGAUAUUUUGUUGAACUAACCCCUGCAGAAAAACUUUCAAUAUCAACCUGGAAAGUCCUGAGAUAAACUCACAUUGGAGACAAAGAGAGAGGCACAUGAAGUUUAACAAUUUACACAAGGAAGGCAUAGCUCACAAGAGAUGAUCCAUGGAGGGUGCCACAAACACGUUGCACAACCGCUAAGAAAGGAAAGCUUCCACAAGGUGAUACUGUACCAUCACUCUUCAAGUAAGGUAACAUCUUAAGGUACUUGACUAUCACUUUUAUAAGCUACUCCUUAUUUUUGGCAUUCACAUGAGUAAAAGAGACAAAUAUGUAAGAUUUACAACUCUAGAUUAACCAACCCAAUCGAUUCAAUAUGUUUAGUCCUUCCACCUUUGUGAUCCCACACUCCUAAUCAUAUAAGCUAAAAUGUUGCACACUCAAUCUUUAGAAGAUAUAUUUAAAAAAAACAACAUAAAUAUAGAUAGAUUAUCUUUCCAUAAGGUUGAGUGAUCUGAUCUGACAAAUGUUUUAAAUGUUACACUCAUGAUCUUAUUAUCCAUCAACUUUGUCUUGCUCACUAUGCUUAAGGUUAGAGAGAACAAAUACACUUUUGGUUCUGUUGGUGUUUUCCACCAACAGGACCCAUGCACUUGAUCUCUGCCUUGUCUCUAUGAGCAGGUACACUUCGAGCAAGAUAUGAGGGACUUUUACAACUCCCAGACUCCAUCAAGUGAAGAACCUAGAUCUAGGAGCACAAACACACUGGAGAUACUGGACACUCAGGCAAUCACUGCCCUGAGAUGCUUGAGGACGUAACUACUGGAGUAACCUCGUUGUGGAAGUAAUUACUGACCUUCUACCGGUCGAGAGAGGCGAUCCAAGACGCCCCGCCAUCCCGAUCUCUAUCGGCAUGGUGGACUUCCUAGAAGCACUCUGCGACUUUGGCUCCAGCGUCGACAUUAUGCUCAGGCUUGCAGAUCAUACGCUAAGUUUCCCAAAGGGAAUAUUGAAGAACCUCUACAUCCGAGUUGGUACCUUAUACGCUCCAGCAGACUUCAUGGUGAUAGAGACUGAUACUGAUGAGAGGGCACCCAUCAUCCUAGAGAGGCCAUUCCUGAACACCUCGGGAGCUGUCAUCUACGCUAGUGCUGCCAAGAUCAGUUUCUACAUCAAGGGGAAGAAGGAGACGUUUUCCUUCAAGAAACAAGACUACACAAAUCCCAGAGCAAUCCUGACAUGAACCAAGGAAGAGGACCAACAGGAGGAACAAGAACAAGCAAAUGUGUACCGAGUCAGCUAAGAUGGUCACUGCAGCUCAAGGAGGUCAAGAUCGUCAACUCAAGUCACCUUUCUUGAUCAAGAAGGACGACCCUGGUGUCCCAAGCAUCGAGUGCACAAUCAACGGAUAUUCUUUUCAGAAGACACUCUACGACACCGGAUCUAACGUCAACAUAAUGGCCGCAGUCACUUAUCAGCUCCUGCAUGGAACCAUGUCCCUACAACCAACAUACAUUCAGCUCCAGAUGGCAGAUCAGACAUUCUGAAAGAUUGAAGGUUAUUGACAUGGGAGAAGACGAGUACGAUCCACCCAUCAUCCUUGGAAGACCGUUCUUUAGCACCAUUAAAGCAAUCAUAUACAUUGGAACCAGAGAAGUCCACAUGCACUUCCCCUCAAAGAAGGUACGCCACUGUUUUACUAACCCUAACUAUAUAGUUGACGACUCUAAGCAGGUCAGGACAAGAAGAAGACGACGCAACUGCAACCAGAGGAGGCAAAUUAUCAAGGACGGAUGGGUAGACUAUGAAGGAGAAGUUCUAAGGUCUGAAGACAUACAACUUGAACAGAACUAUCCUGAGGAGACCGUAGCACCGAGUCAGGUGUGUAGAGAGAAGAUAGUUAUACAUGAAGAGCAGGCGCCGCCAGAACCACCGACUACGCCAUCCAGCGAAUCCCAGGACGACUGAGAAAACGGCGGGUCCCGUUCGGAGGACUUAAAAACACCGAACGCCUUGCCAAGAGGUAAACUUGGUAGUUAUCUUUUUCCUUUCAAUUAUUUAAAAUAGUUUGCUUAGUUAAUCAGGUUCAUGCUAUCUUGAAAAGAAAAUAAAAAUGUUAAAAAUCAUAAGCCCCAUGUGAGUAUGCUCAUGGCAUAAAACCCAUAAGAACAUUCACUGUGGUGGCGUAAAAAUAAAAUAAAUAUAUUCCUGUCCUAUAAAAAUAAAAUUAUAAAAAUAAAUUUAUGAUCCUACUAAAGAGCAUAACAUUUAUUGAGGAGGCUCAACAUGAUAAAGGCUAGAUAUUUAUGCUAACACUUAACUAGUUCCACAAAGCUUUGUUGUCUAUUUGAGCUCCACAGAAUUCAAGGAUCAAAGAAGACUAGCAGAUGGAGGACAUCCUAAUCGCUGUCAGGGUGCUGCCGACAUUCAAAUACACUUCCACCACUUGCUAGCUACAUCAGAAGAAAUUACGUCAAAAAUCUAGCUUGUGGGAGAGCACCCCCAUUUAUCCAGCUAAGUAUUCUACUCACGUUUAUAGUUUACUCUAAUAGUAAAAAGAUGCAUAAUCAUAAAAACUCAAAUAAAGAUUUUGUGCUUAUAUAUAUAUCUUUGCUUAGUUUGCUAAAUAAAAAAAUAAAUAAAGUUUGCUAUGAACCCUCAUGAUAAGCUCUCACAUGGAAAUGAUGUAUAGUUGCUCGGCCAUGACUAGUUCUAAAAAUUGAAAUCUCUCUCAAGUUUAGGCAUGACUGUUAUUAAUUAAGAUUUGCUCUAAACCGGAACUUGUGAGGAGAGUACUUGAUCUGAAGUCUAAGUCGUUAACGGAUAUGAUAUGGGAAGGUUGAGCUGCUGUUUAUCUGUUCCUAGAGAUGCUAGAAUUCUGGAGAAUUUUAUCUUUGAAAAUCUUUAAAAUGUUGCAUGAUGAGUUCCUGUAUGAUGAGAGUUUAAAUUCCUACCACAGCCAUAUAUACAUGCUUGUUAGACUAUGAACCACACAUUUACUUUUUACUGCUUAUGAGCAUUGAGUGUGGUCAAGCUGUGUAGACCCUUAGGAGCUUGUCAUGUGGUUAAAUCAAGAUUCACUUGUACGUUCACUCACACAUGCUACUUCUACUCCAGAAGUACCAUCCACAUAUAUCCAUCCAUUUCCAUCUCAAGAACCACCCAAAAAUAUUCUACUUCUAAUCCGGGAGAGAAUAGCCAAAAACAUUCUCCUAUUUCUGUUUUUCCCCUUUGAAAUAAAUGCUCAAGUUAUCUUGUUACUACCACUUGCUAUAUUAUCUCAUGAGAUGAGUGCUCUAAAAAAACGAAGAAAAAAAAGAAAAAAAAUAUAUAUACGAGGAAAUAAAAAGGGGCAAGUGCCCUGAACCUCGAAGAAAAGAAAAAGUGAGACGAGAGGUAAAAAUGGACAAGUGUCCGAUAGUAGAAUUAGGGGUACAAGAUACCCACCUGAGAGAAAAGAAAAAGAAAACAUUGAGCAUCUCAUUCUCCUCAAAAAGUUUCAAAAGUGCAAGAAAGGUAUGUAUCCCCUCAAAAGAGCAUAAGUAGAAUUAGACUUUCACCAUUGUUAUCACCAUCAUUACCAUGCAUCAUUCAUUCGCCACACAUGCACAUCUUGAUUUGACUUAUUGACUUGUUCUUCUGGAUCCAUGGUUUGACUAUGCAAUAAAUGUCUUGUAAGUAUGUAUUAGCUGUCUCCCACCUAUGAGCUCCAGAUAUCAAAAGCCUUAUUAGAGUAGGGUGAGAGAGAAGGCAAUGUCAUUAUGCCUCAUACCAAUAAUACCACAUACUUUGAGAGAAGGCAUACACCAUUACUGCCUUGGUAAGGAUCCAGAAAUACCACAAAAGAGAGACUUGAGAGAGUCAUACAAGGAAUCUCUGAGUUUUAUUUGAAAAUCUGCAAAAACUCCAGAGCUAUAGUUGAUCAAGAACAUGAGACAUGGUGCUUGACUAGACUGUUCUAUCUUUUAACUACUCAAGACAGAAGUGACGGUUAUAAGUCCCAUGGUGAAAGGUAAAUGAGUAAGUUUUAAGUCUUAACAGUUUACUCUAACCAGAGAUGAGACCUUGUUUAAACGCAUGUGUAUCUUUAAGUUAUGAAACCACUGCAGAAACUCUUGAGUUCAUCUUUGCUCAGGGACGAGCAAAGGUUAAGCUUGGGGGAGCUUGUUGACGGUCCUUAAUGCUCAUAUUUAACCAUCAAUUAAUCAUAGAAAAGGAUCCAAAUGCAACCAACACCUAGACUUAGGGUUUUAUCUAACAGAAUUCCACGAGUUUUGGUGUUUGUCUAUUUCUGCAGGGGGUUAUCAGGAAAUAUGGAGGAAUGGCCCACACGUCGGGUUUACAUAGAGAUAUUAACGUGCCGUGCAAUUUUCUAUCAUCUAGAAGACUCCAGAAGCCACGGGACCGAAGCGGAAGCCGAGAGGCCUCAGGGACAGGGCGCCCGCCCUAGUCCUGAGGGCGCCCGCCCUCCCCCCUGGACCAAUCAGGGUGAAGUUCGGGGAUCAUGCUCCACCGACCUAAUACUUCAAGGAAAACCACACGAUCAAUGUCGGUUUGAUCCGACGGCCCAGAUUCACUUGAAGGGACUAUAAAACCAGACCCCCCUGGCCCCUGGAGAUCAUACCUCUUCUACAGAAUCAAAGCUAGGGUUUCAAUUCUUCAUCCAAGUAGAGAGGAUCCCUCUAGUUCUUCUAGUUCUACCUCUAGUUCAUCUAGAUCUAGUUCUAGUUCAUCUAGUUCUAGUUCUAGUUCCUCUAGUUCUAGUUCUAGUUAGUUCUAGUUGUAAUCUAGAAAAUAGGGAGAGAGAAGAGGAGAGCGGAGGAGGAGCCGGAUCUGUCGGAUCUUCCUCAACAUUGUACUUUUGCAGCAACUGGUUAGUCCUUCAUCGUUCUCCAGGUUCUUCAAUUCAUAACUCCUGAGUUCUCUAAUUACUUUUAUUUACAUUCAAGUUAUUUAUUGGAUUCCCGCUUGCAUCAAGUGCUCUAGUCUUUGAAACAUUAGAGUAAUAAUUAAUAGAUUAGACGUGGUGUUUAGUCUUGCAAUUACCUGGAAUUGCACCCAAUCCUACGGAUUGUUGUGGUAGCCCUAGGGUAGUGACAGCCCUAACGGUCGACGUAUUCCACCACGUUCGGAUCGGUGUUUGUAGGACCGUAGUCAGACCUUCCUAGCCCCCUUCUCAUCUCUUUCUGUGGUUAGUGCUCUGAUGUCCCGAUAUAGAUAAUCUUGAAGUAAUUCUUGAUUCUAAGAUCAACUAGAGAACUCUCAGGAAACUUCCUCUCUUCCCACCAAAAAUAUUCAUAUAGUUAUCCUUGGGCGAUCUUGGAUCUUAAUUAGUACACUCACGUUCCUUGUGGAAAAUCGAUACUCUGGAAUACUCCCGGGUGAAGGCUACAUCGGUAUCCGUGCGCUUGCGGAUUUUUUCUGUUUGCGUUUAAAAUACCCAACAUAUAGUCGGUGGCAUACAUACGUGCACUCUUUAUACGCAACUAUACGGUCUACACGUUUCGUUGUUAGGGUACCUGCAAAAGAUUUCAUUUCAGUCCAGCCCCACAUUAGUAUAUGUGCAGGAAUGUAAAUCCAAUCAUUAGCAAUCAAGCUACGUACUCCGAUAUAUAUUCCCAAACAUAUAUCGCAGCACACUGUCCAUUUUGGAUACACCCACAUAUACAUCAAAUAUGUAUACAUGGCUGUACCUACUACCCACAAUUAAGUACCUUCAUAUAUACAUGUGUGAAACAUGUAAAUAUUCCAGUAACCACAACUAACACUCCCCUAGACCGACGGUUGGACGGUCAUGCUCUCACAGCUCACACUUACCGUAGCGUAGAGGCAUUUAGAUCCAUACAUUACCACUCAAGCAAGUGGCAUCCAUACAAUUUCACGCCGUAUGGACGACGAAAGAAAACAAACACGCUUACCAUGGCGUAGAGGUAUGUGAUCCAUUCAUUACCACUUAAGUAAGCGGUAUCCAUAUAAUUUCACGCCACAUGGACGACGAGAGGAAAAACCCCCAUGUUAGUAAUAUUAAGCCACCUAGAAGUCCUUAUAUGGGCAUAAAGGGUACGACCACUGGCAUGGUAUAAGUUAUUAAAAUAUUUUUAAAACAGACCUACAUAUAGCCUAAUUUUGCCAAAUUAGCUUGGGAAAACCAAAUUCAUUUGUUUUUAAAUACAUCUAUGAUGGUUAAAUGCUUAAUUUUGCUUUGAUGCCAGCUGUAACAGAACCGUCCAAUUUAUAAGAAUUCAAGUGAAUUAGUGACCACUGAGGCAGUCAAGCCAAUGGACUUGAGCCCAUAUAAACCCGGUAGUCCGACGAAAUCUCAAAAGACCUCGAUUCAACCAACAUACAACCAAGAUCGUACAUGAUCAAGCAUCACCAUCACAGAUUACAACAUUCAACACAGAACAUAGUUUUACAUCACAUCAGAGUUUAAAAGAGGUUAUUACAAACCAUAGCAGUAGCGGAAACAAAGUAGUUUUGAAACAACUCCAACUCAGUUUAUAAUACAUGCCAGUUCCAUGGUCAAGUCCCAACAAAAGCAUAACUGAAGGUAGAAGAGUGAUCACGCCCAUGAUCUAUUCAUCAUCCGCAGCUGGGUGAUGACAGUUAGCGCAAUAGCCGUGAUAGACGACAUCAUCUGCAACAGGGGUAAAUAAAACACUGAGUACGAGAAUGUACUCAGCUAGGCUUACCCGUCACAAACCAGAAAUAAAGUGACACCAAGGAGUAUGCAAGGCUGAUCUUUGUGGACUGGUUUGACUCACCUUUUGCAUAAAAGCCUUUGUUGUAAGUAAUUCAUUUAUCACAUUUCAGCAGCAGGUUCAUUGCUUAGCAACUAUCCACUAGAUUAGCACCUGUUCUAAGCAUACACUUGAGUUUUUAAUCAUUACAAUAAUAACCAUAUCCGGAUUAUCACAUAGCCAUCAUCAUUCUCAUCAUAACCAUUAAGUUUAUUUAGUGAAUUCUACGUUGCCGCUGCCCAAGUCAAGUUCUCACUAUCCGAGAGAGACGGCGAUUCGAAUCGAUUCCUAUCCAGCUGGAGGGGUAUUCCUAACACUCACCCAAGCAUACUUCAUGACGGCAGCUCGGAUCACCUUUAGCACAACUCCGGACCAAUUCGCGGAUCCGUCCAGCGCCGCACCCCCAGGGACCGCCAAUCUGCCAGGGUCAGGACUCUAACCUGACACCUCGGUCUUACGCCAUUGACUCCCCGCACAUCCUUGCUACCAACCGGGGUGCGCACUCAUACAGAACGGGCUAUCCGGCCUGAGUUGCACUCGUAGGCUUCACGGUCGGAACGACUUAUCCGGCCAACUAAGUGAUAGGCAUGCGUUCAACAUGACACGGGGACGUACAGCGAUUCGGUCCUUAAACGACACAGACGGGGAUAGAUUCACACCCAAGACCUCCAUGCCUUGUUGCUGCACUAUCGUCAUCCCGCCCGGUCUCAAGUUCAUUUUUAGCACCUGGUUAUCUCCACGAUAGCAAAUAUAGCCAACCGUGAUCAUCAUCCACCUAACUCUCGCAGGUGACAGGAAAUCACCCGGCUUCUACCGAGCUAAGCAUGGCUAAGCAUUACUUCGAUCCUGGACCUACUUUGGUAAUGUUUGAGGUGGACAAGGUAGUCAUUAUGCAGCAAGGGUGUCAUAUCAAUGCCUACCACUUAAUGCAACAAUAUAUAACCAUAGUCAUUUGAUAGCUGAACAUGAUAACAAAAUAGUAGGAGGCUUAUAAUGCUCCGGGGCUUGCCUUCGACGUAUGUAGAGGGACGAUGGUCAGGGCACUCCGGCAAGUCCUCCUCCUCCUCAGCUCCUUGAGGUAGCUCCCCUUGCUGUCCUUCCGGCUCCGGCAACUCGAACUCCAGCACCAUCACUCCCUUGGGUACACCUAUGUAUGCAUGACAAGGAGAUGAAUAUAGAGAAUGCACAUAUGAUGUAUGAUGCCAAGAUGAGGAGCCAAAGGAACAUAAAACAAGGUAUAACAUGAGCAUAAACUUCUAAGAUUAAGUGAAUCAUGGAAAAACAAGUAGGUGCAUACUUCUUCUCUGGUAGAGAGACUAAAUAGACAAGUUAUACGAAUUUUAGCUACUCCUACUCAGCCACUGGUUUAGUAGACAACCAACUUGUCCCAAGUUUCAGCCAUAACUUAGGCACCAGUUAACCAAACUAAGCACGUAAGUACUUUCUGGAAAGCUUAUAAAAUUGUCUACAAUUCACGUUUAGACAUCUCAGCAUGAUUCCCAACCGAAAUAUGCUAAAACAUACAAAGUUGGCUGGCUGCUCUGGAAAUUCCAGAGAGCAAGCACUUUGCAGCAGCUACUUGAAAUAUGCAUAACGUUCAAACUACUCAACCAAAUGCCAUGAAAUUUGGACACGAAGUAGAUCAGUAAGUUAGCUACAAGUUUGUUGUAGACAAGUUUCCCAGAAAAUAAGAUCUUUAAUUAGUUCUCAAGCAUUUGCUGUCAGCUACACAGAAAUGCUCUAGAAAAGGCAUAAAUAGCCAAAAAUAAUAUUUUGCACAAGUUGAGAAUGUAUCAAAGGAACAAUCCCAUUGCACUAGUAGAUAGAACAUAUCUAAGAAACACCAGGAAAAAUCAUGGCAAGGUCUAAAACUAUUUCUAUCAUCACCUUUUCCAUUUAUUUAAUUAUUAAGGUGAUUUAAUGAACAUAUACUCCAAGUGUUCCAAAAAUCGUAAGAAAAUUACAGCAAGCUACUUAUGCUAACAUAAGAUCACUGUAAAAUUUUCAGAACAUUUGCACAUACACAUUGUAAGAUAUAAAAAUAACAAGCUAGUAUAGGCAUGCAAGGCUUAAAUGUGAAACCUUAUCAAAAAGUGUCAAACAGCAGAUUUCAGAUUUUUCCUAACUUUUUCUACACAUAAGUACAACACUCUGCAAGUUUCAUCACCAAAGGAGUUAUAAAUUAAUUAUUAAAAAUACCACAAGAAACUCCUAUUUAAGCAAGAAUCAUUUUUAACUCCUCAACUAGGCUUCCAAAAAUAACGAUAAAUUUAUCAAAGACUACUCAUAACAUAAGUAACAACACCCUAAAUUUGCAUGUCCAGCAGAUCAAUAGAUUUCAAGAUAUAAUUACCCACUAAAAAUCCAAGAUUAAUUUAUAUCUAUUUAUAUCUGCAAAAACAUGGCAUGUUUCAUAUUUUUAUUAAAAACUAGACUCAUGCUGGAACCAAGCAAAAUUGGAGUCACUUAAUUUGGAUCUCUAAAACUCGAGAUAUGAAUUUUACAAAAACAGCACAGGAUCUGUAAACAGUGAACCAGAGGGGGGAAAACAGAGAGGCUGACACCCGGGACCCGCGCGUCAGUGAGACAGUGAUAGGAGAGAAGCUCGCCGCCGGCAAAGCUCAACGACGACGAGGUCUCCGUCGGAUCCAAGGGCAUCUACGUGUUCCUCUCAUCGAGGCGACUCUGUUGACCUACUUUACUCGCGCUCUACUGGACCCUAAGGUGCUCGCCGUCGGGAAUGGCGGAGCGGCGGCGCUGCGCGGCGUUACGCCGGCGGAUCCAGGCAAUGGCGACGCGGUAGAGCUUGCGGACGAGCAAGAGUGGCUCAAGGCGAAGCUAUAGGAAGAGGAAUCACGGCAAGAGGUGAACCAGAGAGGUCUGGCCACAUUGCCGGUGAUCUUUGUGAACUCUGGCGAGGUGGAGCUCGCGACGGAGAUGACAAUGUGACCUCACCGGUGCUCGGCUACGGGAAUGGAGUGGACGUCGAGGUAGAGGACGUCAAGGUGGAGCUCUGGGCGGGCUGGCUUGGCCGGAGGCGCGAUGAAACGGCCGGAGGAGCUCGCCGAAGCGCGGCGGAGCGCACCGAGGUGACGGCGGAGCGAAAUGUGCUGCGCUGAGCGAGUGGAGAGCACGUCUGAGGCGUCCACUCGGUGCGUGGCGACUUGGAGACGCCGUGGGAGCUGACAGGCGGGGUCGCCGUCGACGUACGGCCGACAGGUGGCCGGACACGCGGCGGCGGACGGUUCUGUCCAAACUGAAUCGAGCGAUUCAGUCGCCAUGGCCAGUGACUGAAACUCGAACUUUGUCAACAUUUUACUCUCAGCUCAAUCGGUGGUUUUGGCUGAGAUUUGAUCCUCUGGGUACAGCUACACGAGUUCUACAACUUUGAUUACACAAGCUCAGUCUAAAUCGGUCUGGAUUUCAAACUACUAAGCUUCAAACAACCCUAUGUCGAAACUGUGUGAUCCCAGACUUAGCCAAAUUUGGCUAAGUGUGAAAUCAGCCCUGAUUUUUGGUUUGUGAGCAAUUUUUGGAUGUGUUCUAAGCUUUUUCAUAAAAAUUCAUCAACAUAGCUUUUGUAGCUUAUGAAAUUCUUUACAACUUUGCUUCAGGUGUCACAGACAUGCAAGGUCUCUAACAUUACUUUCAUAAAACAUUUUUGAAAAGAGGUCUAGGGGGUCAAAAAGGUCAUUCUAGGGUUAACCAUGACUUAGGGGCAUUUUUGGCCAAAACCUUCAACAUGAACUUUGUUCCAAAUGAUAUUCUAAACAUGAUUGAGGUAUUUUGGAAGACAAUGUACAAUUUUUUGCAUUGGCUACCCCUUAUAGUCACUCAAUUCAAGUCACACAAGCAAUUUAAUCAUGUAGUGCAUAUAGCAAAUGGCAUGUGAUCAUGGUAUGAUGCUCAUGAGUGAUCAUGAUGAUGCUUAUGUUGAUGCAAUGCUCAUGGUUAACAUGCAAGCUAACACUAGGAGUGUUACACUAUUGCUUCUGUUGUUUUUUGUGUGGACUUCCUGGGCACACAUAUGGCUUGCCUGGUUUUUGUUCUUUAAAACCGGGUGUGACAAAGGUUGCAAUAAACCUGCAGGUUUAAGGUGAACUGCCUUUACCCUACAGUAAGUAUCACACCUAGCAACAUAAGCUGCUAUCUCCUUCUUCAUCUUGGUCCACCAGAAACGAGGUUUCAAGUCUUGGUACAUUUUGCUACUACCAGGAUGAAUGGACAACUAGGAAGAAUGGGCUUCAUCUAAAAUUUUGUUGCGUAGGUCACGGUCUUUAGGUACAACUAGUCAAUCGUCAAACCACAGUACACCCUUCUCAUCUACCCUGAAAUGCUUGGUGUCUUGCUCUUGCAUUUUUCUUUUGAUAUGGAAAAUACCAGGAUCAGACUUUUGGAGCUCUAUGAUUUGACUCUCUAACGAGCAACUGACUACGAUGUUGUGCAGGACCACAUGAUGCAACAAAUUGAAGCCUUCCUCUAGGAGAGGUCUAACAUGUUGUUUCCGACUGAGAGCAUCGGCUACAACAUUGGCUUUGCCUGGAUGAUCGUGUACUUCAACGUUAUAGUCCUUUAUCAAUUCCAACCAUCUUCUUUGUCUCAUGUUCAACUCGGGUUGUGUGAAGAUAUAUUUGAGGCGAUGAUAAUAUCCAGCUAGACCGAGAAAACUCUGAACUUCGUGCACUGAAGUCGAGGCCUUCCAGUCUGUUACCUCUUGCACUUUUGACGGGUCAACAGAAAUACCCUCUUCAGAUAAAAUAUGGCCUAGGAAAGGCAUUUUCUUCAGCCAAAACUCACACUUGCUGAACUUGGCAUAGAGCUGAUGUUCUCGCAGUCGAGUGAGUACUAUCCGAAGAUGCUUCUCAUGGUCUUGAGCAUUUUCAGAGUACACCAAAAUGUCAUCGAUGAACACUACCACAAACUUAUCCAGUUCAGGCAUGAACACCGAAUUCAUCAGGUACAUGAAAUGAGCAGGGGCAUUAGUCAGACCAAAGAACAUGACUAGAUACUCAUACAACCCAUACCUGGUAGAGAAAGCCGUUUUAGGAAUGUCUUCGGGUCAAAUCUUGAUUUGAUGAUACCCGGAUCUCAGAUCAAUCUUGGAGAAUACUUUUGCCUAUACAUAGAGUCUCAGCUGAAAUUCAGAUUACAUGUUCAUUACAUAAAGAGAUGGAACUGAUACAUGAGCAUGGGAACUAUUGCUAGGCUACAUAUCUUCCUCAGAUUCACCAUUAGAAAUUAUGCCGUCAUCCUGAUCUUCCUCACUAGGAGCUUCUUCAUGAUUAAAGGGAACAGGGUGCGGAAUAGGAUUUAUGAUAUUAUUUAGGCAAUGGACAUCUAACUGCAGCUCAGCAAUCCUAGUGAUCAGCUCUUUCUCUCUAAUCUCAGCAUGGAACAAAGCUCUAACUCUAGCAGCUUCUCUAUUCUCAGCCAAGCGCAUAGCCUCAUCUCGCUCUCUAGUCAUUUGCAUCAUGCGGGCUUGUGCCUCAUUGCGCUCUCUAACUGCAUUUUCAACUUGGUUGUGGCGGGCUUGCAAAGUGGUGUGAUAGUUUUGGAUUUCAGCUUGUGCAUCGCUAAAAGCCUUGCGGUGCUUGCGCGCGCGCUUGCGCAGUUUGCGCUGUCCAACUUGAGCUUGUUGGAGCGCUAGCAUGGCUUCUAUGUAGGUGUCCUGGCGUACAUAGUACAGCUUAAGUACCGCCAGCAUGGCACUCAUGGCAGGGCUAGAGCUAUAUCCUAGUAUGGUUUCUCUCAUCUCUAGAGGCUUAGUUCCUACUUGGGACACAAAAGUGUCAGUCACACUCACUCUAGGAAAUGAUCCAGCUGGGCCAUUAAUUAUCUCAUCCUAGCCACUGUGGGUUAUUUGGGCAAGGGGGAACUGUAAUUUUGACAUCUACCCAAGGUAAGGAUCUUGCAUGCUCAGCCUCGGUCCAAGUGUACUUAGGUGGUUCUUCAUAUCCCACUGAACUUAGCACCCUACACAAUAGGGUAGGAGUGCCAAACAUGUUCAGAAAAUUCUCACUUGCGUGUGGGGCUGCCAUCUGUAGGAAGACCACAAUUGAGUAAGGGAGAUUAAUAACAAGAAAAGGUAAAUAGAUAUAUUUUCAGAAUUUAAGACUUAAGUAGUGCAUAAAGAAUGUAUGAAUGAUUCAUGAUGCAUGCACGUUCCAUACGUCCUUUCCAUUCCUAGAAGAAGGUUCAAACGAUAUAGUCGGUGGCAUACAUACGUGCACUCCUUAUACGCAACUACACGGUCUACACGUUUCGUUGUUAGUGUACCUGCAGAAAAUUUCAUUUCAGCCCAACCCCACAAAAGUAUAUGUGCAGAAAUGAAAAUCCAAUCAUCUACAUUCAAGCUAGGUACUUCGAUAUAUAUUCCCGAACAUAUAUCGCAGCACACUACCCAUUUGGGAUACACCCACAUAUACAUCAAAUAUGUAUACAUGGCUGCACCUACUACCCACAAUUAAGUACCUUCAUAUAUACAUGUGUAAAACAUGUAAAUAUUCCAGUAACCACAACUAACACUCCCCUAGACCGACGGUUGGACGGUCAUGCUCUCACAGCUCACACUACCGUAGCGUAGAGGCAUAUAGAUCCAUACAUUACCACUCAAGUAAGUGGCAUCCAUACAAUUUCACGCCGUAUGGACGACGAAAGAAAACAAUCAUUGCUUACCAUGGUGAAGAGGUAUAUGAUCCAUUCAUUACCACUUAAGUAAGUGGUAUCCAUAUAAUUGCACGCCAUAUGGACGACGAAAGGAAAAACCCCCAUGUUAGUAAUAUUAAGCCACCAAGAAGUCCUUAUGUGGGCAUAAGGGUAUGACCACUGGCAUGGUAUGUGUUAUUGAAACAACUUAAAACAACCCUAUGUAUAGUAUAAUUUGCCAAUUAGUUUGAGAAAACAAAUUCAUUUGUUUUUAAAUACAUCUAUGAUGGUUAAAUGCUUAAUCUUGCUCCGAUGCCAGCUGUAACAGAACCGUCCAAUUUAUAAGAAUUCAAGUGAAUUAGCGACCACAAAGUAGUCAAGCCAAUGGACUUGAACCCAUAUAAACCCGGUAGUCCGAUGAAAUCUCAAAAGACCUCAAUUCAACCAACAUACAACCAAGAUCGUACAUGAUCAAGCAUCGCCAUCACAGAUUACAAACAUUCAUCACAGAACAUAGUUAUACAUCACAUCGGAGUUUAAACAAAGUUAUUACAAACCAGUUUAGUAGCGGAAGCAAAGUAGUUUGGAACAUCACACACACAGUUUUAUUACAUGCCAGUUCCAUAGUCAUCCCAACAAAAGCAUAACUGAAGAUAAGGAAGUUGAUCAUUCCCAUGAUCUAUUCAUCAUCCGCAGCCGGAUGAUGACAGUUAGCACAGUAGUCGUGAUAAACGACAUCAUCUGCAACAAGGGUAAAUAAAACCCUGAGUACGAGAAUGUACUUAGCUAGACUUACCCGUCAUAAACCAGAAAUAAAGUGACACCAAGGAGUAUGCAAGGCUGAUCUUUGUGGACUGGUUUGACUCACCUUUUUGUAUAAAAAGCUUUAGUUGUAAGUGACUUACUUUUAACAUUUCAGCAGUAGGUUUAUUACUUAACAACAACCCACAAGAUUAGCACCUGUUCUAAGCAUACACUUGAGUAUUUAAGCAUCACAAUAAUAACCAUAUCUGGAUUAUCACAUAGCUAUCAACAUUCUCAUCAUAACCAUUAAGUUUAUUUAGUGAGUUCUACGUUGCGACUGCCCGAGUCAAGUUCUCACUAUCCGGGAGAGACGGCGAUUCGAAUCGAUUCCUAUCCAGUUGGAGGGGUAUUCCUAGCACUCACCCAAGCAUGCUUCAUGAGGGCAGCUCGGAUCACCUUUAGCACAACUCCGGACCAAGUCUCGGGUCCGUACAGCACCGCACCCCUAGGGACCGCCAAUCUGCCAGGGUUAGGACUCUAACCUGACACCUCGGUCUUACGCCAUUGACUCCCCGCACAUCCUUACUACCAACCGGGGUGGGCACUUAAACCGAACGGGGUAUCCGGCCGGAGAUGCACUCGUAGGCUUCGUGGUCGGAACGACUUAUCCGGCCAGCUAAGUGUUAGGCAUGCGUUCAACAUGACACGAGGACAUUACAGCGAAUCGGUCCUUAAUUGACACAGACGGGGAUAGAUUCACACCCAAGACCUCCAUGCCUUGUUGCUGCACUAUCGUCAUCCCGCCCGGUCUCAAGUUCAUUAUUAGCACAUGGUUAUUCCACGAUAGCAAAUAUAGCCAACCGUGAUCAGCAUCCACCUAACUCUCGCAGGUGACAAGAAAUCACCCGGCUUCUACCGAGCUAAGCUUGGCUAAGCAUUAUUUUCGAUCCUGGACCUACUUAGGUGAGGUAUGAGGUGGUCAAGGUAGUCAUUAUGCAGCUAGGGUUUCAUAUCAACGCCUACACUUAGUGCAACAAUACAUAAACAUAGUCAAUUGAUAGCGGGAUAUGAUAUAAAAAAUAGUAGGAGGCUUAUAAUGCUAGGGGGCUUGCCUUCAAUGUAAGUAGAGGGACGGUGGUCAGGGCACUCCGGCAGAUCCUCCUCCUCAGCUCCUCGAGGUGGCUCCGCUUGUUGUUCCUCCUCAGCUCCUCGAGGUGGCUCCGCUUGUUGUCACUCCCUCGGGCAGUUCGUACUCCACCUAUGUAUGCAUGACAAGGUGAUAAAUAUAGGGAAUGCACAUAACAUGCAAUAUGUCGUGAUGCUGAGCCAAGGAAUACACAACAAAGUAUAAACAUGGGCAUAAACUCCUAAAAUUAAGUGAAUCAUAGAAUAACAAGUAAGUGCAUACUUCUUCUCUGGUAGAGAGGCUAACUAGACAAGUUAAUCAACCUUAGCUACUCCUACUCAGUCACUGGUUUUAUAGACAGACCAACUUGUCAAACGUUUCAGCUAUAACUUAAGCAUCAGUUGGCCAAACUAAACAAUUAGAUACUUUCUGGAAAGCUUAGUAAAUUGUCUACAACUCACUUUUAGACAUCCCAGAAUGAUUCCCAACCGAAAUAUGCUAAAACAUACAAAGUUAGCUGGCUGUCCUGGAAAAUCCAGAGAGCAAGCACUUUGCAGCAGCUACUUGUAACGUGCAUAACUUUUAAACUACUCAACCAAAUUUCAUGAAACUUGGACACGAAGUAGAUAAGCAAGUUAGCUACAAGUUUGUUAUAUACACGUUUCCCAGAAAGAAUCAUCUUCAAUUAGUUCUUAAGCAAUUGCUAUCAGCUACACAGAAUUGCUCUAGGAAAGGCAUAAAUAGCAAAAAUAAUAUUUUGCACAUAACAAGAAUUUAUCAAAGGGUCAAUCCAAAUACACCAGUAGAUACAACAUGUCUAAGAAACACUAGAAAACAUCAUGGCAAGGUCUAAACUCAUUUCUAUCAGCACCUUAUCCAUUUAUUUAAUUAUUAAGGUGAUUUAAUGAACAUGCAUCCCAACUGCUCCAAGAAUUCUAAGAACAUUACAGCAAGCUACUUAUGCUAACUCAAGGUUACUGUAAAAUUUUCAGGGCACAUGCACAUACAGAUUGUGAGAUACAAAAAUAACAAGCUAGCAAAGGCAUGCAAGGCAUAAAUGUGAAACCCUACCAAAAGGUGUCAAACAACAGAUUUCAGAUUUUUCCUAGCUUUGUUUACACAUGAGUACAACACUCAGCAAGUUUCACCACAAAAGGAGUUAUAACUUAUUUAUUAAAAAUACCACAAGAAACUCCUGUUUGAAAAAGAAAUAUUUAUAACUUCACAAUUAGACCUCCUAAAAUCAUGAUAAAUUUAUCAGAGCCUAUUCAUGUCAUAAGUAACCAUACUCUAAAUUUGCAUGGCCAUCAGAUCGACAGAUCUCAAGAUAUAAUUACCUCCUAUAUAAUCAAGAUUAAAUCAUAUCUAUUUAUUUCUGCAAAAACAUGGCAUGUUUAAUAUUUUUAAUAAAAACCAGAUUACCACCAAAACCUAGCAAAAUUAGAACCAUGUCAUUUUGAUCUAUAAAACUCGGGAUAUGAAUUUUUCAAAAACACCACAGAACCUGCUAUACAGUGAACCGGAGUGUGAGAGGGAGAGACUGACAGGUGGGAUCCGCUGACACACGGGACCCACGCGAUAGAGGGACAGAGACAGGGGAGAAGCUCGUCGCCGGCGAAUCUCGACGACGGCGAGGUCUCCGAUGGAUCAAAGGGCAUCUACGUGUUACUCUCCUCAAGGCGACACCGUUAACCUACUUCACUCGCGCUCUACUGGACCCUAGGGUGCUCGCCGUCGCGAACGGCGGAGCGGCGGUGCUGCGCGGCGUUACGCCGGCGAAUCUAGGCAACGGCGACGCGGUAGAGCUUGCGGACGAGCAAGAGCGACUCAAGACGAAGCUAUAGGAAGAAGAAUCACGGCCGGAGGUGAACCAGAGAGGUCUGGCCACGUUGCCGGUGAUCUCUGUGAACUCCGACGAGGUGGAGCUCGCGACGGAGUUGGCAAUGCGACCUCACCGGUGCUCGGCUAAGGGAAAGGAGUGGACGUCGAGGUAGAGGAAGUGGAGGCGGAGCUCUGGGCGGACUGGCUCGGCCGGAGACGCGAUGGAGCGGCCGGGAGAGCUCGCCGAGGCGAUGGCGGAGCGAAAUGGGAGGCUCUGGAGGGGUGAAUGGCGCGUCUGAGGCGUCCACUCGGUGCGUGGCGUCUUGUGGACGACGUCGGGGCUGAUAGGAGGGGUCAACGACGGUGGACGGCCGACACCUGGCCGGACACGCGGCGGCGGACGGCGACUGUCCAAACUGAAACGUUUUCUUAAUCGCCCGAUCCCGACGACUGAAACUCCAACUUCGUCGAUGUUUUACUCUCAGCUCACUCGGUGGUUUUGGCUCAAAUUUGUUCCUUGGGUUAGAGCUACACGAGAUCUACAGGUUUGCUUACAAGAUCAAAGUCUAACUCGGCCUGGAUUUCAAACUACAAGGCUCCCAAUAACCCUAUGUCGAAUCUACCGAUUCCCAGACUUAGCCAAAUUCGGCUAAGUGUAGAAACAGCACUAUUUUCGGGCAUGUAGGCCACUUUUGGUCAGGUUCCAAGCAUUUUCAUAAACCUUCAUCAACAUAACUUUUGUAGAUUAUAAAAUUUACUACAACUUUGUUUCAAGUGUCAUUUACAUGCAAGGUCUCUAAAAUCAGUUUCAUAAAACAUCUUUGAAAGGAGGUCUAGGGGGACAAUUAGGUCAACCUAGGGCUAAUCAUGACCUAGAGGCAUUUUUGGCCAAAACCUCUAACAUGAACUUUGUUCAAAAUUUUGUUCUAAACAUGAUUAAAGUAUUUUGGAAGACAAUGUACACUUGUAUGCCUUAGUCACCCAUUACAAUCAACCAUAGCAAGUCAUAUAGCAAUUCAAUCACAUAGUAUAUGUAGGAAAUGGCAUGUGAUCAUGGUAUGAUGCUCAUGAGUGAUCAUGAUAAUGCUUAUGUUAAUGCAAUGCUCAUGGUUAACAUGCAAGCUAACACUAGGAGUGUUACAAACCUGGAGAUGCCAAUGCCACAGGAGGCUUGCCUGUCACGUCAGCCACUUGAGAUGUUCUAGGACCUUUUGCCAUCAAUUCGGGAGGCAUACCAUAGCCCCACCAGUUGGGAGGAACAGUCCCUGACAUCGCCGAUGCCAAUAAAUCUGUGGCAAGUUUGAUUUGCCCAUCUGAUGUUGAUGGAUUAGUCGUCAUUGGUGUGGAUUGCGCGUCAGUCAUCCCCAAUGUGCUUGGAGGGGAAUUAACUUCUGCACCCGCAACGGCCGUGGUAGCCGAUGGAGCCGUAACCACUGAUGACCCUGGCUGAUGAUAGACAGGACCCACAUAAGAUGGUGGUACUUGUCCUUCUUUGAAAGUUCUAGCCAUAGCAUUGAAUACCAUGUUGGACAGUACACCAGACUGAUUGAUCAAGGCACGGUUAAUAGCACUGUCAACCAUGUCUUGAAGUUUACCAGGAUUGACUUCAAAAGUGACUUGCCGAGGCAUCGGCAAUGCUUCCUUCUGGAUCACCUCGCCACUCCUGUUGAUACUGAAGGAUUUCAAGCAUAGCUGCUUGUAGUCCUCCAUGGCUUUUGCCAUAGCUUGCUUCUGCUCAUCUCUGAGGUUGGCUUCCGUCACGGGGAUUGUUGAUAUUUGGGAACGCAAUAAGGAAUUGAUCCGCAAGCGCACGGAUAUCGGUGAGCAUUUCACCCGGGAAAUUAUCCAGAGUAUCGUAUUUAUUUUUUUACCACUAGGAGAAAGAGUGCAUCUGACUAACCGGUCUAUUACUACUAACCUUUAGGCACAAAGAAUGUCUUUCGAUGUGAGUGAUAAAUAGAGAAGACUGCAACUGUAGUCUCCUUCUAACCUUGGUAAGGAUGAUCUACUGUUCUAAUGGGGAGGCUAACGGAAUCUAGACACCACAAAGGAUGUUCGACCCACACCUAUAAACCCUAUCCUUCCUGCUAACGAGAUGUGAUCUACAAAGGUAGCUCGGAAAUGUCACGUUCCUCACUACUACCACGGUCCAGCUAGUCAGGGAAUAUCUAUGAGUACCCCAGCCUAAACACCACGUUUACGCCAGCAAUGAUUACUCUAAACUCUACGCGAAGAGAUUAAAGUAAACUCAUAAACCAUAAGAACAAUAAAACAAGAACUUACUAGAAUUUAGAAGUCGAAUUACUGAAGAAUCCUAGGAGCAAGCUUCGGGUUAGGAGAACUUGAUCCCGCAGGUACAAGCUUGGAGUAGACACCGACAGGCCGGGCUUCCUCCACUCUACACCUCCACUCUAUCUCUCUCAAUCUAGUAGAAACUAGAAGAUCUAUUUCUACCUUACAUUGAUUGCUAAGCCUAAAAAGAAAUAUUAAUUAGAGAAGAGGUUUUCCUUCGAGGGCACCCCUCAGUCUCUAUGAUAAUUUCUUCAUGUCUUCCAGGGGCCAGGGGGGCCUCGCUUAUAUAGUCCUCCCCUUCUAUGCGUUUUUGGGUCGAUAGCCGAGGUGGUACUAUGUUUUUCUUGAUCCAAUAGGUUGGUGGAAUAUCCCGAGCGAAGGAGUCCUGAAUUGGCUCCAAAAGGGGGGGCGGGCGCCCAGGCUUCCAGGGCGGGCGCCCUGGGCCUGGCCCAGCUUCGCCUCCGCUUCGGUCUCGUGGCUUCUGGAGUCUUCUAGAUGAUGUAAAAUUGCGCGGUGCGUUGAUAUCUCUAUGUAAUCCUGACAUGUGGGCCUUUCUUCCUUAUUUCCUAAUAACCCCCUGCAGAAAUAGAUAAACAACAAAACUCGUGGAAUUCUGUCAGAUCAAACCCUAAUUCUAUGUGCUGGUUGCAUAUUGGUCCUUUCUCUUGUUUAUUUGAUAAUUAAAAUUGAUACUUAAGAACCGUCAACAGGGAUAACGUUCUCCAAGUCGAAAUCGUUGUUCGACAUGUUGAUCUUGAUCAUGAAUUUCUAUCCCACUGGGCGUGCCAAAAGAUGUGUUGGUGCAAAUGCUGAUCUACAAACACAAAGGGCUAAUACCCGAUCUAAACGUUAAGGCGUGCCAGCCGAUUUGACCUUACAAUCGACAAAGGUGGUACCUCGAACACUUUGGUCCCGACAACAACGAUGCGCCCUGAUGUCAUGGCCAAGAGGUGCUCACGCAGAACUUGAGAACACGCCGAGUUUGACUCGACGAAUUCCUAAGAACUCGUAGUAAAAUGAAAAUAUGAUGAAGUCGCCAAAAAAGUAGAUGCUGGAAUAUGUGUAAAAACUUGUGUUUGAUUGAUUGUUAGAUGUCUCAUUACAUUGCCACAGGGUCUAUAUUUAUACCCUGUUUAAAAUAACUACAACCAGACACGACUAGAACUCGAAUCCCAAAUUAAACAGAAUCCGUAUACAAACGAACUCUAAUAACUAAGGAAAUCAUUAAACUAUCCUCCGCAACCGAUCGGUACACUGCCACGAGUCAAUCGGCAAUCCUUGCGCUUUUCUUCAUAAGCAACGGCAGACCGCCUAUUAUAGCCAUCGGCAACCGUCAGCACAGGUCAUCGGCACGAACGCAUCACCACUCCUGGACUUGGUCAUAUUCGGUUGUUUUCCCAUCGGCACCAACCUUCAUCGGCAACUCCCCUGUAGACUAGUCACCAUUGCCCCAUCUGUCGAUCUACACUUCAUUAACUCCAGGUGCGUAUCCAAAGAUACAUGUCCAAAAACAGUGUCAACACACUUUUAUAAGCUUCUCCUUGGUUCUGGCGUUCACAUAAAUAAAGAGAUAAACAUGUAUGAUUUAUAACUCCAAAUUAACCAACCCAACUGAUUCAACAUGUUUUGGUCCUUUAAUCUUUGUUAAUAGUACUACCUCUAUGAUCCCACACUUCUAAUCAUAUGAGCUAAAAUGUUGCACAUUCAAUCUUUGGGAAGAUAUAAAGAAAAAGACAUAUACAUAGAUAGAUUAUAUUUUCAUAAGGUUGAGCGAUCUGAUUUGACAAAUGUUUUAAAAGCUACACUCAUGAUCUUAUUAUCCAUCAACUUUGUCUUGCUCACUAUGCUUAAGGUUAGAGAAGAACAAAUACACUUUUGGUUUUAUUGGUGUUUUCCACCAACAGGGCCCAUGCACUUGAUCUCUACCUUGUCUCUAUGAGCAGGUACACUUCGAGCAAAACAUGGUGGAGUUUUAUAACUCCCAGACUCCACCAAGUGAAGGACCUGGAUCUACGAGCACAAACACACUGAGCAGGAUGCUGCCAACGCCGCACUUCGAACUGCUGGGCAAACGAAGAACAUGGGUGACACCAUAUCACGAGGUCCAGACGUCAAGGUCCACACCGGAAUCAAAUGACGCACCUAAAGAAUGAACACGGUGAGAAGUCUUGUUCAGAAGACUUAAAACAUCGAACCCUCGCCGGAAGGUAAAAUCGGUAGUUAUCCAUAUUUAUCCUUUCUGCAUUCCCUUUACCCUUAAAUCAUUUACUUUCCUUAAAUGGCUUGUUAGUUAUUCAUGCUAUCUUGAAAAGAAAAUAAAAAUGUUAAAAAUACUAAGCGCCAUGUGAGUAUGCUCGUGGCAUAAAACCCAUAAGUACAUUCACUGUGGUGGCGUAAAAAUAAAAUAAAUAUAUUCCUGUCCUAUAGAAAUGAAAAUAUAAAAAUAAAUUUAUGAUCCUACCAAAGAGAGUAAUAUUUAUUAGAGGAAGCUCAACAUGAUAAAGGCAAAGAGAUUUUAUGCUAACACUUAACUAGUUCCACAAAGCUUUGUUGUCUAUUUGAGCUCCACAGAAUUCAAGGAUCAAAGAAGACUAGCAGACGGUGGACAUCUUAAUCGCUGUCAGGGUGCUGCUGACAUUCAAAUACACAUCCGCCACCUGCUAGCUACAUCAGAAGAAAUUACGUCAAAAUCCAGCUUGGAGGAGAGCACCCCCAUUUAUCCAGCUAAGUGUUUCUACUCGCGUUUAUACUUUACUCAAAUAAUAAAAAGAUGCACAAUCAUAAAAAACCCAAAUAAUGAUUUUGUGCUUAUAUCUUUGCUUAGUUUGCUAAAUAAAUAAAUAAAUAAAUAAAGUGUCUAUGCCAAAUUGAACUCCAAUGAUAAACUCUCACAUGGAAAUGAUGAAUAGUUGCUCUACCAUGACUAGUUCUCAAAAUUAAAAUCCCUCUCAAGUUUAGGCAUGACUGUUAUGAAUUAAGAUUUGCUCUAAACCUGAACUUGUGGGAAGAGUACUUGAUCUAAAGUCUAAGUCGUUAACGGAUACGAUAGAUAUGGGAAGGUUGAGCUGCUAUUUAUCUAUUCCAAGAGUUGCUAGAAUUCUAGAGAAUUUUAUCUUUGAAAAUUUUUAAUGUUGCAUGAUGAGUUACUGUAUGAAGAGAGUUUAAAAUCCUACCAUAGCCAUAUAUACAUGCUUAUUAGACUAUGAACCAUACAUGUGUGUAGACCCUUAGGAGCUUGUCAUGCGGUUAAAAUCAAGAUCCACUUGCACGUUCACUCAUACAUGCUGCUUCUACUCCGGAAGUACGCAUCUACAUACAUCCACUCAUUUCCAUCUUCAGAUUUACCCAAAAUUAUUCUACUCCUAUCCAGGAGAGAAUAGCCAAAAAUAUUAUCCUAUCCCUGUUAUUCCCCGUGAAAUAAAUGCUCGAGAUAUUUUGGUUACUACCACUUGCUACAUUAUUCCAGGAGGGUGAGUGCUCUGAAAAAAAAGUGAAUACGAGGAAAUAAAAAGGGGCAAGUGCCCGAAACCUCGACGAAAAGAAAAAGUGAGACGAGAUGUAAAAAUGGACAAGUGUCCGACAGUAGAAUUACGGGUACAAGAUACCCACCUGAGAGAAAAGAAAAAGAAAAUAUAGAGCAUCUCAUUCUCCUCAAAAAGCUUCAAAGUGCAAGAAAGGUAUGUAUCCCCUCAAAAGAGCAAAAGUAGAAUUAGACUUUCACCAUUCAUUCGCCACACAUGCACAUCUUGAUUUGACUUAUUGACUUGUUUCUCUGGAUCCAUGGUUUGACUAUGCAAUAAAUGUCUUGUAAGUAUGUAUUAGCUGUCUCCCACCUAUGAGCUCCAGAUAUCAAAGCCUUAUUAGAGUAGGAUGAGAGAGAAGCCAAUGUCAUUAUGCCUCAUGCCAAAAAUAAUACAUACUUUGAGAGAAGGCAUAUACCAUCACUGCCUUGGUAAGGAUCCAGAAAUACCACAAAAGAGAGAAUUGAGAGAGUCAUACAAGGAAUCUCUGAGUUUUAUUUGAAAAUCUAUAAAAACUCCAGAGCUAUAGUUGAUCAAAGAACAAGAGACAUGGUGCUUGACUUGACCAUUCUAUCUUUUAACUGCUAAAGACGCAAGUGACGGUUGCAAGCCCCAUGGUGGAAGGUAAUAUGAGUAAGUUUAAAUCUUAACAGUUUACCCUAACCCAGAGAUGAGAUCUUGUUUGAACACAUGUGUACCUUUUAAGACAUGAAACCACAGCAGAAACUCUUGAGUCCAUCCUUGCUCAGGGACAAGCAAGAGGUAAGCUUGGGGGAGUUGUUGAUGGUCCUUAAGUACCAAAUAUAAUCAUCAAAUAAAUAAAGAAACGGAUCCAAAUGAAACCAACACCCAGACUUAGGGUUUUAUCUAACAGAAUUCCAUGAGUUUUGGUGUUUGUCUAUUUCUGCAGGGGGUUAUCAGGAAAUAUGGAGGAAAGGCCCACACAUCGGGUUUAUAGAGAGAUAUUAACGUGCCGCGUAAUUUUCUAUCAUCUAGAAGACUCCAGAAGCCACGGGAACGAACGGGAGACCGAGCGGGCUCGGGGGCAGGGUGCCCGCCCUCCCCCUUGGGCGCCCGCCCUGGUGUUUCGGCCAAUCACGUUCUACUUCGCGGAUCAUGCUCCACCGACCUAAAGAAUCAAGGAAAACCGUGCGAUUAAUGUCGGUUUGAUCCGACGGCCCAGAUUCACUUAGGGGGACUAUAUAAGCAGGCCCCCUAGCCCCUGGAGGAGGCACCCCUUGAUCCCUAUUCAUUAUUCAUAGAUAGAGCAAAAUCUAGGGUUUGGAGAUGAGUGCUCUCCUCUCAUCUCUAAACUAGAGUAGAUCUAGAUAGUAGCGAGAUGGAGAGCGAGGGAGGAUUCGAGGAGAGGCCGGCCUGUCGGUUCUUCCUCCGGUUGUACUUCGCCAUGAUCAAGCUCUAAUCGAGCUUGCUCAUGGGAUGACUCUGAUAAUCUACUUCUUAUUUCAUUAUGCAAUUAUUAUCCAUGUAUGUUCUGGUUCACAACUCUUUUGAGUACUUUAAUCUAUAGGACGCUAUAGGUGAGAGUUGUAGUAUAGGUGUAAGUGUGGUGCUUAGACUUAGAUUACUUGUGGAUAUCCCCUGUCUAGCCGGAUCGUGUGGUAGGUCGUGUAGGUGACAGUUACGUUGGUCCCCUGUAGUCCACCUCCCGUUAGCAGGACUGGUAGGGUUUAUCGGCCUAUGGAUAAGCAUCCUUUGUGGUGUAUUCUUAUCACGUGGUUCAUCCCAGAUAUAGACAUACCCCUUUGAAGUAGAGAAACCAUAGUUAUCCUCUUUAUUCUCCUACCAUCGCCCAUAUACUAGAUUGCUCUACUCUCUAUUCCCAUAUUAUCACCCAUUGUUAUCUUACCUUUAAUAUUGUUCUUAUUCAAUUCUACCAUCUUUCCUAUUAACACCUACCUAUCUAUCUAGGUUAAGUUAGAGCGUAGAUCAGUUCUCCCGUUUCCUUGUGGGUACGAUAAAACCUUUAACCGGGUAAAAGCUACAACGGUAUCCGUGCGCUUGCGGAUUUAUCUGUGUGCGUAUAAAUACCAUAGUACACUCUAGUGCCAUGCUGGGGAUGACAACCUAGUAUUCAAGUGGUGUUAGCAAGUGUCAACCGAUAUGCCUAAGAAUUCUCUAGAAUACUCUAGAAGCAUCACCAAGCAAAAGUUUUAUGGACUAACAUGACAAUUUCCACAGCUUUGGUGAUUUGUGAAUUUUUAGGGAUAAAAAAUAGAAUAAGCCAAGGAAGAGUAGGAGCCAAGGAACCGAACCAAAUCAAAUUGGAAUUCUGCAAGAAUUGAAAAGGAAGGUUCUAGAGGACACCAAAAGACACAGGAACAUAAUGGGAGCACAACAGCGGACAGGUGGGGCCGACCGGCCCCACAUGCCAGGGCAGCUAUCCUAGGUCCACAUGAAAUUGAGCUCCACUUAACGUGAUGGCUUCUAACCGACCUCUUGUUUCACGUCAGUUUGAUCCAAAGGCUGCGGUUCAUCCCACCGGACUAUAUAAGUAGGGGCAGACAUCAAUCAUCAUCUCAGUUGAUCUCUCAUUCAGAAGGCCAAAGAGAAAAAUCUAGGGUUUCCAAUUAGAAUAUUAGAGAUCUAUUUCAAGUUCAGGGUUAGAUCUAGAUAGCUAGAUACAAGUAGAGUUGAGCGCGGCUCAGGAUUUUGGAUCGAUGUCAGGAGAUUUUGUAAUUCUAUCAUUGUAUCUCGUAAUUAUGACUUUGUGCUACUUCAAUGUCAUUAUGUUCCAUUUUAUUUCAUUCUUAGUUUAUUCUAAUUCUAUCUUUGAUAUAGUCUUGAUUGAUAAUAAGUUUAGACAUAAGUUCGUAGAGCGCUUAGUUCAACUCCGGAUUAGAUUAGGUGGUAGAGGUAAUGUAGACAUGGUAUCUAGAUUAUAUUUACCUACGAAUGCAUCCUAUUUUCCAAGCCAUGUGAUAGAUCAUGAAGGUGACUUUUAUAGCUUCAUUGAGUCCUCAAUAGUCCACUCCCCAAAUCUAGGACAAGUAGAACCCGAUUACUUGGACAAGGAUUGCUCUGUUCCUAAAUUCCCUGAAGUAAUAUUCCUUAUGUUUAGAUGGAAGAUUGAUUAAGAUAUAGAUGAUAAGGAGUAGAAUAGAAACUCUGAGACUUUGUAGAUAGGACAACCUAGGAAUUAAAUCUCUAACCGUGUGUCUUUAUUCUAUAUCCUACUUGAUCAGACGAGUUCCCUCUAAUUACGAGUUCCCUAUCUUUAUCUCAUCAUCAUCAUCAUUAUUAUUAUUAUUAUUAUUAUUAUUAUUAUUAUUAUUAUUAUUAUUAUUAUUAUUAUUAUUAUUAUUAUUAUUAUUAUUAUCAUUAUUAUUAUUAUUAUUAUUAUUAUUAUUAUCAUCAUCAUUUGCCUUAACCCUAUUUAGAUACUAGGAGGAUUCCCGCGCGUUGCUGCGGAUAUAAAGGGGGAAUAUAAAUAUGGCCUCACUAUAGUCUAUUGAGUCAUCUAUAUAUAUAGUUUUAGUAGUCACUUUUAGAAGAGGAAGAGAGGAGAUCACAUGAGAGAAUAAUUGCUAGCAGUAUGCAUGCAUGGUCAUGUGUAGGUAGCUGCAUCCACUACUAAAACUAUUUGUGAGUGGGCACUUAAUUGCAUGCAGCAGGAGAAGUGGAUGAUGAUGUGGCGCAAGGAGGUGCAAGAGAAUUAGCUUAGUGGGUUUUGUCUUUAUAGGAUAUAUAGAUAAGUGGUUAAUUGAUUCAUAUCUAGAGUAUGUAAUUGUAAUUCUUAUAGCCAUAUCAAUUUCCUCUACUAGACCCUGUCUAGAAGCUCCUAGCGGUAGAAUUAUAAAUAACAAUACAUGGAACUUUCCUAGGUGAAAUGCUACAAUGGGAGUAUUUUAUCUGUGUGCUUGUGGAUAAAUUCUAUUUCAUAUUUUAUAAGUACCAUGAUCAUAAGUACAACCACAUAUCUUAUGUCAUGUUAGGGAUGACAACCUAGCUUGUGCAGCGUAAGUGAUGCGAACAGGUGUUUUGAUCACCAAAACCAAACCCUAAGCAAUACCUUUGCCUUCAUCUCCAUAGCAUUUUUUUUUCUCUUUCUUCUUUUCCAAGUUAAGCACUUGAUCAUCUUUUGGUUACCACCACCACCUUGAUCACUUCAUCUAGGUCCAUCACUUGGAAUUUACCAACCUCAUCUAAUUCACACACUUAGCAAAGAGGUUAGUACUUGGGUUUCAUCGAUUAUCCAAAACUAAACUUGGGCCUUCAAUCUAUCCCUUUUUGGUAAUGACAACUCAUUUACAAAGAUUUUUAAUAAAAUUUUCUAGGAUUCAUGUUGCUUGCCCAAGCAUUUUUACCAUGUGUAAUGUGUAAAGGAUAUGGGCAAGUUUCAUAAACCUAAAUUGGUAGUAAUUGCUCACCCUACAUAUGUGCUAAGAGUUUGGAUUUGAAAAAGCUUGCAUAUAUGCUUGAAUAGGAAAUAUAGGAGUCAAUUUCUACCAAAUGAUUCUAAAGUGUAGAGAAUGGACCUUUGAAGUGUUAUACCAAUCGGAGUUGCCAAUAUACAGCAUCCUUAGCACCAUGGUUAGUUAGAUAGCUCUUGCAUACCACUUGCAAUCACAAAUAAACUAGAUGCCUCAUGAGAUCAAUGUUAUAACCAAGGUUCUAGUACCACUUAAAAAUAACACAUAUGCAAGGGACAUCUAACUAUUAUCCUAUGCAUGCUACUAUUUCAUUUCAUCAAUCAUGUUCUAUCACUAGCAUACACCACACAAGCAUGUUCUAGAGAAAAGCAUCUAUUGCCAUGCAAGACAUAUGAAAUGCACAUACAAAUGCAUCAAUCAAGUUUAUGAGCUUGCUCCCCCUACUUGUGUGCUUCAAAAUUUUAUCUUUGUAAAGAACUUGUAACUUCUCGCCCUUUGUCAUCAAUGGCCACAAAAAAGUGAGCUCAAAUUUUUGGAUAGGUUAGUGUGGAACCAUGUGAAGUGAGACCAUUUUGUCAAAUUUGGUUCAAUCUAGAUUACUUGCCUAAGAUAUUUAACUCGGUUUGAUCUAAGGAUAAGCUUCUUCACACCUCAAGUAAGGGUUAUCUUGUACCAUGUUGAGUUAAAUACUUAUAGCUCAUUUUGUAGAUCAAACACUAUGAUUGCAAGCCCAUAAAAAUGUCAUAUGCUUUGCUACCACUAGAUCAUUUCAAGCAUGAAAGUAAUAGUGGUACCAUUGAUGGGUAUUUUAAACGCAAACAGAAAAAUCCGCAAGCGCACAGAUACCGAUGUAGCUUUCACCCGGGAGUAUUCCAGAGUAUCGAUUUUUCACAGGGAACGUGAGUGUACUAAUUAAGAUUCAAGAUCGCCCAAGGAUAACUAUAUAAUUAUUUUUGGUGGGAAGAGAGGAAGUUUCCUGAGAGUUCUCUAGUUGAUCUAAGAAUCAAGAAUUACUUCAAGAAUAUCUAUUUUGGGAUAUCAGAACACUAACCACAGAAAGAGAUGAGAAGGGGGCUAGGAAGGUCUGACUACGGUCCUACAAACACCGAUCCGAACGAGGUGGAAUACGUCGACCGUUAGGGCUGUCACUACCCUACGGCUACCACAACAAUCCGCAGGAUUGGGUGCAAUUCCAGGUAAUUACAAGACUAAACACCACGUCUAAUCUAUUAAUUACUACUCUAGCGUUUCAAAGACUAGAGCACUUGAUGCAAGCGGGAAUCCAAUAAAUAACUUGAAUGUAAAUAAAAGGAAUUAAAGAACUCAUGAAUCAUGAAUUGAAGAACCUAGAGAACGAUGAAGAACGAACCAGUUGCUGCAAAAGUACAAUGUUGAGGAAGAUCCGACAGAUCUGGCUCCUCUUCCUCCGCUCUCCUCUUCUCUCUCCCUAUUUUCUAGAUUACAACUAGAACUAACUAGAACUAGAACUAGAGGAACUAGAACUAGAACCAGAAGAACUAGAACUAGAACUAGAUGAACUAGAGGUAGAACUAGAAGAACUAGAGGGAUCCUCUCUACUUGGAUGAAGAAUUGAAACCCUAACUUUGAUUCUGUAGAAGAGGUAUGAUCUCCAGGGGCCAGGGGGCCUUGCUUAUAUAGUCUUUUCAAAUGAAUCUAGGUCGUUGGAUGAAACCGACAUUGAUUGAACGGUUAUCCUUGAUCCUUUAGGUCGGUGGAGCAAUAUACUGAAAGAGAGACCUAAUUGGACUCUGUGUGAGGGCGGGCGCCCAGGAGAGUAGGGCGGGCGCCCUGUCCCUGAGCCCUCUUGGCUUCCGCUUUGUUCCCGUGGCUUCUGGAGUCUUCUAGAUGAUAGAAAAUUGCGCAGCACGUUAAUAUCUCUAUGUAAACCCGACGUGUGGGCCUUUGUUCCGUAUUUCCUGAUAACCCCCUGCAGAAAUAGACAAACACCAAAACUCGUGGAAUUCUGUCAGAUAAAACCCUAAGUCUAGGUGUUGGUUGCAUUUGGAUCCUUUUCCAUGAUUAGUUUAUGGUUAAAUGUGAGCAUUAAGGACCGUCAACAAGCUCCCCCAAGCUUAACCUUUGCUCGUCCCUGAGCAAAGAUGAACUCAAGAGUUUCUGCAGUGGUUUCAUGCCUUAAAGAUACACAUGCGUUCAAACAAGAUCUCAUCUCUGGGUUAGGGUAAACUAUCAAGACUGAAAACUUACUUGUUUUACCUUUUUACCAUGGGACUUGUAACUGUCACUUCUGUCUUGAGCAGUUAAAAGAUAGAACGGUCUAGUCAAGCACCAUUUCUCUUAUUCUUGAUCAGCUAUAGCUCUGGAGUUUUUGUAGAUUUUCAAAUAAAACUUAGAGAUUCCUUGUAUGACUCUCUCUAGUCUCUCUUUUGUGGUAUUUCUGGAUCCUUACCAAUAAAGUAAUGGUGUAUGCCUUCUCUCAAAGUAUGUGGUAUUUUUGGUAUGAGGCAUAAUGACAUUGCCUUCUCUCUCAGCCUACUCUAAUAAGGUUUUGAUAUUUGGAGCUCAUAGGUGGGAGACAGCUAAUACAUACUUACAAGACAUUUAUUACAUAGUCAAACCAUGGAUCCAGAGAAACAAGUCAAUAAGUCAAAUCAAGAUGUGCAUGUGUGGCGAAUAAAUGGUGUAUGAUGAUGAUGGUGAUAAUAAUGGUGAAAGUCUAAUUCUACGUUUGCUCUUUUGAGGGGAUACAUACCUUUCUUGCACUUUGAAGCUUUUUGAGGGAAAUGAGAUGCUCUAUAUUUUCUCUUUUUUUUCUCUUCUCUCAGGUGGGUAUCUUGUACCCCUAAUUCUACUGUCGGACACUUAUCCAUUUUUACCUCUCGUCUCACUUUUUCUUUUCUUCGAGGUUCCGGGCACUUGCCCCUUUUUAUUUCCUCGUAUUCACUUUUUUUCAGAGCACUCAUCCUCCUAGAAUAAUGUAGCAAGUGGUAGUAACCAAGAUAUCUUGAGCAUUUAUUUCAAAGAGAAAAACAGGAAUAGGAGAAUGUUUUUGGCUAUUCUCUCCCGGAUUAGGAGUAGAAUAUUUUUGGGUGGUUCUGGAGACGGAAAUGGAUGGAUAUAUGUGGAUGCAUACUUCCGGAGUAGAAGCAGCAUGUGUAAGUGAACGUGCAAGUGAAUCUUGAUUUAACCACAUGACAAGCUCCUAAGGGUCUACACAGCUUGACCACACUCAAUGCUCAUAAGCAGUAAAGUACAUGUGUGGCUCAAAGUUUAGCAAGCAUGUAUAUAUGGCUAUGGUAGGAAUUUAAACUCUCAUCAUACAGGAACUCAUCAUGCAAUAUUUUAAAGAUUUUCAAAGAUAAAGUUCUCCAGAAUUCUAGUAUCUCUAGGAACAGAUAAACAGCAGCUCAACCUUGCAUAGGUUCUCUCAGAUCACUCAUUAUCUUUUGUAUAUAUAUCUCACUGAGGUUGUUUUAUUUUGCAAAAAUUCUUAAGCAUACUCACUUUGCAUUUAUUGCCUGAUCAAAACGGGAUCCGAGGAGGGGAAUGUCAUACUCUUAGAUCAAAGACUUUAAAAAUUAAAAACUUUGUCAACUCUUGCUGGCAUAUUGCUUAUUAGAGGGACCAUGGGCUAUCAUUUUUUCUCUAUUUUUUUUCUCUUUUUUUUAAGUGGAUACCGAGGUACCCCUAAUUCUACUGCCGGACACUUGUCUAAUUUUUCUGCGAGGUUGUCGAGCACUUGCUCCUUUUUAGUUCCUCGAAAUAUCUUCUAUUUUUGCAUAGCCCAUGCCUCUAAUGCAAUAAUACUUCGGAAGAGUGAAUCUUUCUGAAAUAAUGUCUUGAUGUUGGGAGCAUGAUAAAUCUCUCAACAAGGGUCUAACUCAUUUUGAACAAACUCAAUACAGAGCAGAUAGCUUUUAUAAUCAUAAUUAAUAUUUCAGUUUUAUCAGGCAUAUAAAACACUGAGGAUGGUAGCUAGGAAUUUGAAUAUUUUGAAAUAAAUUCUCCAAGCAACAAUGAUAUCAAGAAUAAGAAACUUAUUGUUGAUGCAAAACUGAUCUGCAAACACAAAGGGCUAAUACCCGAUUCAAACGUUAAGGCGUGCCAGCCGAUUUGACCUUGCUAUCGGCAAAGGUGAUAACUCGAAUACUUUAGUCCUGACAACAGCGAUGCGCCCGGAUGUCACGGCUAAGAGGUACUCACACGGAACUCGAGAACACGCCGAACUUAAGUCGACGAAUUCCUAAGAACUCGUAAUAAAUAAAAAAAAGUAUGACGAAGUCGUCGAAAAGUAGAUGCUGGAAUAUGAGUAAAACGUAUGUUUGAUUGAUUUCUUGAUAGAUGUCCUGAUUACAAGGUCUUAGGGCUUAUAUUUAUACCCUGCUCAAAGAGCUACGACCAGACACGAUU